AAAAAUAUAUUAAUAGACUUUUACUACUAUAAUAUUCAAGAAAAAAAAUUAGACAUUGCUACCAAAAUACCAUUUUAUCUAGCAAUGUGCUUUACCCGUCAUUUUUGUCAUUAAUAAUUAAAACUAUUUGAAUAUCUUUAUAAUUUGUUUGAAAGUAAUAGUUAAUUCUCUCUCUUCUCUCAGCGCACGAUAUCAUUUUUUCUAUCCUACGCAAUAGCCGAAGAUGGCGAGAGGAUGACCACGCAAGGAUGGAACUAAGCCGAUUGAGGUGCUGGCUAACAAAGGAAAGCAAGUGAAGGAAGGGUUCCCACCUCUCAUGAUGGGUUCGACACGAAUGAGUGAUAAAAGUGGAAGUAUUGUUCAAUUGAAAACGAGCACUGUCGCAGUUGCAAAGGCUACUCCAUCUCUAAGGGCUGGAGGACGGCGGACACCUCCCAGUACUAGUAAUGUGCAUGGAAGGAGCUCAAAUCUUGCUAAAGGUGAAAGAAACAAGACAACAGAAUCUAACCAGGCCCCUGCUACAGGUAAUGAAGGUAUUGCAGAGAAUCGACCAGUAGAACAACCAAAAUGAUCAAAGAAUUGGGAUAAUUUAUUUGUCGGGAACAAAUUGACUGCUAGAGGUAUGAAUUUGCAAUUUAUUGCACCGAUCAUUAUUGAAGGGGAGAAAGUUGCACAAAUUCAGAAGGAGAAAGUACAUGAGGCAACAAUUAUAUAGCAACGUGUUGUAAUACUGUAUGUGGUAGGUGCUUCACUAAUUAUAGGAGCCAUUAAUCAUUUCAUUGCAAGUAAUUAGAAUUUUACUGCUACACCUUCUUUUUUCUACCACAAUGACGGAUACUUUUUGACACUGCUUAAUAGCAUGGAGGAUAAGGAUAGAGUAAUGUGUUCAUGAACUUAUACUAUAAACACCAGGCCAGUAAUAAUUAGAGCUUGGAAUGCAGAUCUUGACUUUGCGGAGGAAGUGCUUAAAAUUAUCCCUUGAUGGAACCGUCUUCCAAGUCUACCAGUUAAUUAUUGGAUAUGUAGACUCUGAGUAGGAUUGGAAGUGUUCUGAAUACACCUAUCUACGAUGGUAAUGUACCACAAGCCUUAAACGGAUAUCCUAUGCUAGAAUUCUAGUGGAGAUGGAUGUAACUUGCACUUUGCCUAAUGAAAUUAAGGUGUAGGACCCUGAAGGAAGGUUAUAUGUACAAAAAAUGAAGUAUGACUGGAAACCAAGCUUUUUUCCUACCCGCUUGAAGAUUUGCCAUAUAUAUCCUAAGAAACUGGACCAAAACAAGGUGGAAGUGAAUGGACCCAAGGAGUGGAAAUAUAAGACUCCUAUUUCUCAGCCACAAUAGGAUGCUACUACUAGUGGUACAAAGGAUCAGGAGGUCCAAGCAUCACCAAAGGAACAAUUAAACACAUGGGGAGGUCUGGAAAAUAACUAAACACUGCCAGGUAGAGCAAAACAUAGAAAAAUAAUGUUGUUAGCAUGACCAAUAUUUUUAGUCCAUUUGCUACUGUGGUAAAUCAAGAACUACAACAUUAUGAUACGUUGAAAGAGGGUGAACGUGUAGAUGCAGGGAAUUUCCCAUCUCUUAUACCUACUCUAAGAUGAAGACAAUGACUUGGAAUGUUAGGGGCUUUAAUAAAGUUUAUAAGUAGAAUUUGUUGCACCAGUUUUUAAUGGAGAAUAACAUGGAUGUAAUGGCUAUAGUAGAACAUAGGGUUAAACAAAGGAUUGCAAAGGUAUUGUCAAUAAGGUGCUCUUGGAUGGGAUGUUACACACAAUUAUGCACAGGAUGGUAGGGGUAGAAUAUGGGUAAUUUGUAACACUAAGUAUUAUUGUUUUACUUUUUCUUACGGUACAGAUCAAUUCAUUCAUGGUGAGAUCAAGAUGACGGGCACUGAUAGCAAGUUCCAAUUCACUACAGUGUAUGUGCUGCAUACAAUUUUAGAUAGAAAGAUGUCGUGGGCAGGAUUAUCUAAUAUAGAUAAGUCUAUGAAGAAACUUGGUUAAUCAUGGGUGACUUCAAUGCCAGAUUGCAUGUAAAUGACAGAAUUGAAGGCUCAUCAGUGAAAGAAACUAAGAUUGUUGAUUUUAAUGAAUUCCCGCAAGAUGCCAAUCUCAUAGAGCUUAAAGCAGUAGGAAGAAAGUACACCUGGACUAAUUCUCAUGUCUUUAGCAGUAUUAAUAGGGGUUUAGUUAACUCAACUUGGAUACAGUCCAAGACAAGCUUGGAAAUAAUAGUUAUGGCACCAGGUUUCAUAGACCACUCUCCAAUAUGUGUUCAUGUUUAUGAUAGACAACCUAAUGUGACUAGAAAAUUUAAAUUCUUUAACUGGGUAGCUCAACACCCUGAUUUUCAGGCCACAAUGAGGUCAUCUUGGUAGGGUAAUAGUGGAGGAUCUCUAAGUAUACUAUGGAGGAAGCUUAUCGAAUUGAAAGGAUAUAUUAAGAAACUAAAUUAGAGGGAAUUUCAAGCACUUAAAGACAAGAUUACAGAUAAAGAGAUGAACUGCAGAACAUUCAAUAGGAUAUGAUCACAAGUUCAGCAUAUCACUAGCUACAAGAUGAGAAGAAAAUGUUAAAGACUAAGGGUGUGUUUGGUAUGAUGGAAAAUAUUUUUCAUAGAAAAUGUUUUCCUGGAAAAAGUUUUUCUGAAAAAUAAGUUGGUUUUCUACUUAUUUUCUCAUGUUUGGUUAGUGAGUGGAAAAUUGGUUGGUGAGUGGAAAAUAUUUUCCGGAAAAUAUUUUAUGGUGUUUGAUUGGUGAGUAGAAAAUAUUUUUUAGAGAUAUAUUUUCUAGUGAUUGGUUGGUGAGUGAAAAAAUAUAUUUUAGAAAAUACUAUUAACUGUUAACUAGUAUAUCACUGCCUGAACUAAUUUAAUCAUAACAAAUAAUAUCAAUAUCGAGUAUUAAGAUAUUACAAGUCAUUAAUUUUAAGCAUUUACUAAUUAGCAAACAUAGAAGACACUUUUUAACAUUUUAUCAGGACAAUCUCAAGAUACCACAAUCAAUAGAGAUACAAUUGAACGACGAGCUUAUUCAACCUUGUAAAACAAGCUACAACGCUGACAAAAUGGAAUAUGCAAUUAGCAAAAGUAACAUAGGUAAGUCUUCCUCUAUGCACAUGGAAAUAACAAUACAUUCAACGAACAUUGGAAACAAAGAAAAAUUUGGACUUCAAUAUUUUUAUAUCAAGCAGUGAAAAAUUGGAGCAAAGCACAGGGAAAAUGUUUCUGAGUAAUGUGAAUUUGAGUGUUGUUGGGAUGGGGGAAGAGGGGUGGGGGUGGGGGCAUAAAAGUCACAUAUGUUAUUUUCUGGAAAAUGACUUCCCUUGGCCCAUGAGGGAAGUUAUUUUCCCUCAAAUAGAGGAAAAUAAGUUAUUUUGGAAAACAUUUUCCCAAUGUUUUAGUACAACCAAAUAAGGGAAAAUAAGAAAACAUUUUCCAGAAAAUAUUUUUCAUCAUACCAAACACACCCUAAAUUAGAAAGAUGGUUGACUGUAGAGGAAAGUGCACUCAAGCAAAAAUCUAGGAUAAGUUGGAUUAAGCUUGGAGAUGAUAAUAAUGCCUUUUCCAUCCAUGUGUAAGGAAUAGAGUUGCUCAAAAUCAAAUAAGUUAUCUUCAUUCCUUUUAUGGUAGAAUCUUGAACACUAUUAAGGAUAUCCAAAUUGAGGUUUCUCAUUUUUAUAGGAAACUGCUGGGAGAGGCUGCUAGACAAAUCCUAGCAUACAAAGGGUUGUUAUGCAAAAUGGUAGGUUUCUAAAAAGACAACAACAAAUUCAACUAAUUUCCCCUAUAACCAGAAGUGAGGUAAGAGAUGCUCUUAACAGUAUAGAUAACAAUAAAGCCCUUAGAGAGGACGGAUUUAAUGUAUUAUUCUUUAAAGAAACAUCAGGUACUGUAGGAGAAGGUAGAGGAUGUAGUAAUGGGGUUCUUUACUGAGUGUUAUAUCCCUAAAAUAGCAAAUUAUACUAUGGAGACUUUGAUUCCUAAAGUUAAACACCCUACAAAUAUCAGAGAAUAUAGACCUUGUUAUAGUGUUAUAUACAAGGUGAUUUCAAAAAUCCUAACAAGGAGGAUAGAUACAGUAAUGCAUGGAAUUAUGGAUGCUAGUCAGUUAGCCUUUAUCCCUGAAAUGAGUAUCUCUGAUAAUAUAAUAUUAAUUCAUGAGCUGGUUAAGGGUUACACCAGGAAGGGUAUUAGUCCAAGGUGCAUGAUGAAAAUAGAUAUAUAGAAAUCUUAUGACUUAUUGGAGUGGGUUUUUAUUAAGAAAGUUCUUAUUAACUUACAGUUUCCUAAGAAUUUUAUGCAGUGUGUCAGCAUAAUAUCUUAACUCUAUUACAAUAAAUGGUCAUCUUUCUCCUCCUUUGAUGCUAAGAAAUGAUUGAGGCAAGGUGACCUUCUAUAACCAUACUCAUUUGUGCUUGCUAUGAAAUACCUAAGUAGAUUGCUGAAAACCCUUCAAUAUGAGACCAUGCUUCAAUAUCAUCCAAGAUGCAACAAGCUACAAAUUGUCCAGCUAAGUUUUGCUGAUGACCUACUGUUGUUCAGUGAAGGAAACAUUCAGUCAGUGCAACAACUAUUUCAUUGCUUUACUACAUUCUCAUUAGCCUCAGGCCUGUAGGCUAAUCUUAACAAGUGUUCAAUUUAUUUUGGUGGUGUUAAGCAGAAUGUACAAGACAAGAUCUUAGAGCUAACAGGUCUAUAAGGUAUCUAGGAGUUCCUCUGAGUACUAAGAGAGUAUCCUUGGUGCAGUGUCAACCUCUCUUGGACAAAAUGCGGGUAGAAUAACUUCAUGGACUAAAAAAUUUCUUAGCCAUGCUAGUAGACUACAACUGCUUAAGUCUGUUAUGUUUUCCAUCCAAACAUACUGGUCUUAACUAUUUCUUAUGCCUAAAGAACUGUUAGAAACUAUUGAAAGGAUAUGUAACAUUUUUUUGGACAAGAGGGGUUGAUUUCUCUAAGAAAGCUUUAGUGGCCUGGGAGAGAGUGUGUUUACCCCUUGAGGUAGGUGGUUUGGAUCACAUUAAUCUGAUCUACUAGAAUAAAGCUAUUUUAUGUAAACUUUUAUGGAGCCUGAGUAGGAAGCAGGAUGCACUAUGGAUUAAAUGGGUACAUGCAUAUUAUAAUACUGGUGAUUCAGUUUGGGGCAUAAGGCCUAAGCAAGCUUGUUGGCUUAUCCAGAAAUUCCUGAAAGCAUACACGUUGAGAAUAAAAGUUCAAAAGUAUAUUGAGAAUGUAGGGAUCAAUGAAGUAGAGUGGAUACUGAUGAAUCAAUUCUCUAUUAGGGAAAUAUAUUAUAAUCUGUUAGGUGAUCAUCCUAGAGUAGAUGGAGAAGACUAGUCUGCAACAAUCCUGGUGCAACAAAGUAGAAGUUCAUUUUAUAUAUGACAGUAUUUGAUAGAUUCUUAACAAAGGAUAGAUUGUGUAAGUGGAAUAUGCAAGUCAGUCCUUAGUGUCCAUUAUGUGAAGAUGCAGUGGAAUGCCAUGUCAUUUAUUUUUUAGUGCCCUGCUACAGACAAAGUGUGGAGAAAGUUAUUGCACUGGCCAGUCUCAGAGCUGGUUAGUUGAAAUUCAGCGGAGUGUGGCUAACAAGCAAGUAGAGGAGGUAAACUCACUAUGUAUAGAAUGACCCUUGCAGUUACAGUUUAUGAAGUUUGGAUGGAGAGGAAUCACAAAGUAUUUUGAAGCAGUAGGAAACCAACGGUUAUGGUCCACAAGAUUAUUCAGGAAGUAAUACCGCAUGCUAGGAUGUAGGACAAUCUUAGCAAAUGUAUAGAACAACUCAAUCAUUAUCUAGUGUAACUGGGUGGUAGUAUUUCCUUGAAGGAGUACCCUAGGUUGGGUGUGUCCUGUUGGGUCAUCCAAUUUUCUUUUUUUUUUUGAUCCUGUAAUGUGUAACUUUUGAUAAUAAAAUGAGGCUAGUUACCAAAAAAUAAUAAAAACAUAGAGAGUUAUAUAUGCUCCAAUCAUCAUCAUCAAUGACAUUUUCGAUUUUAUUUAAAGAAAAGAAGAGAAAAAUAAAAUAGUAAUAUAGUAAUCAUUGAAUGAAAUAAAGAAUUAUGAUGUCAAAUAAAGAAUUAUGUGUGUGGGUGUGUAUGUGGGGUGUAAUGACCCUCUAGGUCAUUUCCUUAAUUUACAAGCAUUUCUAAUAGUUUGAGCCUUCCCACAGCGGCUAUAUGUCAUUUAUGACUUGCCAAAAUUGUUUGUUUGGUUAUCAGGAAAUUUGUUUAGGUUUUAGGCUCAUUUUCCUAUAUUGGAGCUUUCCUUAUUAAGGAAUUAGUCGCAAACUAAAACUCUUAGUAGAUGACCUCUGAUGAGAAUUCCGACAACUCCAUCAGCUUCAGAACAUUGAUUUUAGGCUAGGAGGAUCCUUGGUUCAGGUUACGAAGCUUCCAGACUCGUUUUGGAUUAUUGGAUGGAUUAUAUGAAAAAUGAAACUAUAGGUGUGGGUUCCACAUUUAGUCAAAAUAAUUUAGUAGGAAAGUUUUGAUGGUUCCAUUGACUCUAAAACAUUGAAUUUGGUAUGGUAGCAUAGUGCAUUUGCGCUCACGGGGUUCCAAAUGAAUUUCGAGCACCCAGUCGAAGUCCAUUUUUGGAAUUAGCAAAAUUUGAUAUCCGGUUUCUAAUAUGACCACUUUAGCAGUCAUGUAGCCACUUUAGCGACAUGCGCUUUAGCUCCAUGAGCCACUUAAUCAGCCUUAGCCAUUGGGUUAAGGUCCACUUUAGUAGUCAAGGGCCUCUAAAACAGGUACCACUUUAGCGCCAAGGUGACCGCUUUAGCGGUACCUACCCCUUGCGCUAGAUUGCUUUAGUGAUAGCUGCUUUAACGGCUGGGAGACCAUGACACAAUCCGACCCCGGGCUUUGUCGUAAUAGGCAUUCCAAGUCCAAACAGGACCGGGGACUGCCCCUUUUACCUGACCCAACCACCUUUAUCCAGCCUUAGAUGAGCUGAAUUUCAAACAUAUAACAAGAUAGCGUUAUUGUUCUCAUUAAGACUUUGGGACAGGGUCAUAACUGUGACUGACUCAAUAAAGUCCAAUCGUACCGCAAUAACCACCCAAUCAUACCAACCAAACCAUAGAUCAUAAACCAAAGAAAAUACCAAAACACAAUAUGAAAAUCAACCCUAAAAUGUAAUAUGACGGAAGAAUGAGAAAUUAUGUUCGAUGAUGCUAGCCUCAAUAUCAAUACCAGUGCUAAGGCUGACACCUCUACCGAUACCGCCCAUACCAACCCCUAUAAGUACGACAAAGCCUCUAUCCGAAAGAGUUAACAAAUUCGGUUGGGACAUGCCACCAACCAUGGCCAAAAUCGAUACCCAAAAUAAAAGAUAAAGAGUCUAAAUAAAUUCAUAACUUGAAAUAAUGCCUUCCGAAAGGAUGGAAGCUCACCACUUCAGUCUAAGUGCUAAUACCGAAUCUGUGUGCUAAACAGGAGGAGUAGAAUGGUCCGUUCCUGCAUAGCAUGGGUAUACAGCUGCCAGUAGACAGGGCUAGUGAAUAACCGCUAGCAUGCAACUCAGGAUAAGGAUAGAAUAAUGCCAGUGAUAAAAUCAAGUGAAACCAUCCAUAAUGCAUACAACCAUACAUAUAUAAGUGUCGAGAAAGGGAAUAGGGUUUAGCAUGCAUUUAAAACCUUUACCUAGGUUGUGUAGCUUUGCCGUCCUAACCACCCAUGGGCCAUAUGGGUUCAGCUCCCCAUGUUGAAAGGGCCCCAGUGCGUGUAGCCACACGAUCAAGGAGUAUCCCAUGGGAUAACAAGUACAUACCUCCAUUAUAAAAUGUGACACUCGAACUUGGUUAUCGAAGACCCCUCAUAUCAACAAAUAUGAGUUUACAGUUUCGGCCCCCCAAGGACCACCACCUUCCACGGCUUAGCUACACACUCCGCCAUUAAUGUCCAAUUAAAACCAUGUCCAGACAAUUCAUAUACCAUUUAUUAAUCAAGGCCAAUAUUAGUGGUAUCGUCAUACCACCCCAUUACUUGCAAGUAAUAUCCAUAGCCAAACCAUUUAGGUUAGGGGACCUUAGGUGCCCCUCAUUUUACCAUAUUAAAUCCACUUGGGAGACUUCCAUAUUCUCCAUAAGCAUAAUCAUUUAACCUUUAGCCUUUUCAAACCUUUUAAACCUCGCAUAAAUCCUUUAUCUAAUUUAAAACAUGCAAGAGUUCCAUUAAAAGAAGUCAAUGCAAUGAAAAUAUCUUUAUAAGCAUUUUGUCAAACACCUUAGGGCAUAAUAUAACCAAAACCAAUUUCAAAGACCAUUAAACCAUUAACAUGCAAUCCAAUUGUCCAAAUCAACCAUUAAUGCAUAAUAAAGCAUAAUUAAAACCAUAGGAAAUCAUAACCAAACAUUUAAUAGCAAAACCCCCAAAUAAUAAUUGAAAACCAUAAUCAUGAAAUAGUAAAAUCAUGAAAUCAAUCAUAUAAACCAUGCCUUUAGUUGAAAUUACAAUGAGGGAAGAGAAUCAUGACUUAUACUGAAGAAUUGACGGAAAGAAAUCACCAAAGCAAGCCCCAAAGAAAUCCUUGAGAUCAAAAGCUCUUGAGAGAAUUAUAAGAUGUUUUGGAAUAGUUUCUAAGUGUUAAUGAAUAGAAUAAUAGGGUAAAUAACCUCCUAAGUGUAUUAGAAGUCAUGGAUCCUAAUUAGGGUAAGUAGGAAAAUAUCCAGAAUACCCCCUCUUAAAUUCCUUAAAAACCCGUCACACGGAUAUGACUGACCCAUACGAGUCGUACCCUCCUAUACGAUCGGUAUCCACCACUCGUAUCCAAGCCUUAAUCCCUUGAUCAAACGCUAUCCAGUAAAUGACUCAUCCAACCAAGUCGUAACCAUAACAUACGAUCCGUACCCAUGACCUGUAUCCCUGGCUGAAUGAAAUACUAGAAGGAUCAAAUAAUUCCAACCAUACGAGUCCUUGAUUUGACUCGUACCAAGCCUUACGACUUAUACCUUUAAGUCUUACCCAUUCCAGUGACCAAAACCAUCCCACCAACUAACACUGGCAUACCCCAGCAUACGUCUCGUACCCAUAAGUCGUAUUGGAUCCGGAGAACAAAUUUCCCAGAAAUUUUCUAAGGGUCAAAACCCUGGAUGUUUCAGUCUCCCCUACUAGGAACAUUUGUCCCCGAAUGACGGACAAGGUAGAGGUAACCACAUAUAGAGCCAUUGUAACACCCCGAAAAAUGAGUCCCGGAGUAUCACACGGUGCUUGAGGCUACGAGUAGCCCCAAGCUAACCCUUUGAGCCAUUUUCAUUCAGUUCAACACAAAUCAACGGGGUUUCCAUAAAUAACCCUCAAAUAUCAACAGAGUAAUCAUUAUCCAAGAAUAAAAGAAUUUCAGAAAGAUAACAAAAUACGACUUAUUAGUGCCUCAACUGACUCAUACUCAGUUAUCAAAUGUAAACGAUUCCAUGAAACUAACAUCAGACAUCACGUCCUCGGAACAUGAGGACUCACCACAACAGAGGAUGUAGAACAGCAUGCUCGAAGAAUCAUUGUCGAACCUGGAACUGAGCACCUAAACCUACANNNNNNNNNNNNNNNNNNNNNNNNNNNNNNNNNNNNNNNNNNNNNNNNNNNNNNNNNNNNNNNNNNNNNNNNNNNNNNNNNNNNNNNNNNNNNNNNNNNNNNNNNNNNNNNNNNNNNNNNNNNNNNNNNNNNNNNNNNNNNNNNNNNNNNNNNNNNNNNNNNNNNNNNNNNNNNNNNNNNNNNNNNNNNNNNNNNNNNNNNNNNNNNNNNNNNNNNNNNNNNNNNNNNNNNNNNNNNNNNNNNNNNNNNNNNNNNNNNNNNNNNNNNNNNNNNNNNNNNNNNNNNNNNNNNNNNNNNNNNNNNNNNNNNNNNNNNNNNNNNNNNNNNNNNNNNNNNNNNNNNNNNNNNNNNNNNNNNNNNNNNNNNNNNNNNNNNNNNNNNNNNNNNNNNNNNNNNNNNNNNNNNNNNNNNNNNNNNNNNNNNNNNNNNNNNNNNNNNNNNNNNNNNNNNNNNNNNNNNNNNNNNNNNNNNNNNNNNNNNNNNNNNNNNNNNNNNNNNNNNNNNNNNNNNNNNNNNNNNNNNNNNNNNNNNNNNNNNNNNNNNNNNNNNNNNNNNNNNNNNNNNNNNNNNNNNNNNNNNNNNNNNNNNNNNNNNNNNNNNNNNNNNNNNNNNNNNNNNNNNNNNNNNNNNNNNNNNNNNNNNNNNNNNNNNNNNNNNNNNNNNNNNNNNNNNNNNNNNNNNNNNNNNNNNNNNNNNNNNNNNNNNNNNNNNNNNNNNNNNNNNNNNNNNNNNNNNNNNNNNNNNNNNNNNNNNNNNNNNNNNNNNNNNNNNNNNNNNNNNNNNNNNNNNNNNNNNNNNNNNNNNNNNNNNNNNNNNNNNNNNNNNNNNNNNNNNNNNNNNNNNNNNNNNNNNNNNNNNNNNNNNNNNNNNNNNNNNNNNNNNNNNNNNNNNNNNNNNNNNNNNNNNNNNNNNNNNNNNNNNNNNNNNNNNNNNNNNNNNNNNNNNNNNNNNNNNNNNNNNNNNNNNNNNNNNNNNNNNNNNNNNNNNNNNNNNNNNNNNNNNNNNNNNNNNNNNNNNNNNNNNNNNNNNNNNNNNNNNNNNNNNNNNNNNNNNNNNNNNNNNNNNNNNNNNNNNNNNNNNNNNNNNNNNNNNNNNNNNNNNNNNNNNNNNNNNNNNNNNNNNNNNNNNNNNNNNNNNNNNNNNNNNNNNNNNNNNNNNNNNNNNNNNNNNNNNNNNNNNNNNNNNNNNNNNNNNNNNNNNNNNNNNNNNNNNNNNNNNNNNNNNNNNNNNNNNNNNNNNNNNNNNNNNNNNNNNNNNNNNNNNNNNNNNNNNNNNNNNNNNNNNNNNNNNNNNNNNNNNNNNNNNNNNNNNNNNNNNNNNNNNNNNNNNNNNNNNNNNNNNNNNNNNNNNNNNNNNNNNNNNNNNNNNNNNNNNNNNNNNNNNNNNNNNNNNNNNNNNNNNNNNNNNNNNNNNNNNNNNNNNNNNNNNNNNNNNNNNNNNNNNNNNNNNNNNNNNNNNNNNNNNNNNNNNNNNNNNNNNNNNNNNNNNNNNNNNNNNNNNNNNNNNNNUAGGCUGAAGUAGAUCGACCAUAACUUUUUGGUUCGAUAGACAAAUUGGAUGAAACCAAUUUCAUUGGAAAGAGGACUCACAGAGCUUUCUGUUGAUAUAUAGUAAAUCACCCAGAUCAUUAUGUACAAGGAGUUUUGAUCGUUUAAAGUUGGAGCAAGAAUACGUCAGGCCUCAGUACUUUUCCUGCACGUUUUACUGUUCACUACUAUUCACGGUUCGAUCGGAAUGUUCAUAACUCGUCGCUCGGAUGUUCGUUUUGGAUGAUCCACAUAUCGUUGGAAAGCUUAUUCGAUACUCUACGCAAUGGUGGGUCAUAAUCUAAGACAUUCCGCACGAAAAAAUUUAUAAUUCAUUCUAGAAGAUAGAACCCAACACGUUUAUGCACAAAAUUUCAACGAAAAAUUUCCUGAGGUAUUACAUCAUCCCCCCUUGGAAACAUUUCUCCUCGAAUGACGCUAGACAUACCAAGAUUAGAUAGGGAAUAGAGCAUACAUCUGAAACCAUUCGUUAGACUCAUCACCACAUCGUUUCUCACUCCGAAUGCAACAUAGAAUGCAUAAAUUCAAGAAACUACAGCUGAACACAUAAUAAAUGAUAGCUGAACUGCUGCAACUUUUAUCAAAAGUGCAUGAUUUAGGAAAGAACAGUACCUUCGGCUUGAUCGGAGUUCGCGAAAAAUAUGUGCGAGUACUUGGAUCGCAUAUCCGCCUCAGUUUCCCAAGUUGCACCCUCAACAGAUUGGUUUCGCCACAACACCUUGACCAAGGGAACUUCUUUGUUCCUUAGUCUUCGAACACUGAAAUCAAUAGACAAGAUAUCUAGGGAUCAUGGUCAUCUAGUAAUUGAUUAUCAAAGUAAUGAAAAACCAUUUUAACACGAUGAAAAUUAGAACACGGACAUUAUUUGUAGUAAGCUAAACAAAUAAGUUAAUAUUUCAAGAGUUGAUUUUAGAUGAUUGGAAUUAUAUUAAAUUGAGAAAAAUAAAUUUAAAUGCUGAAAUAAUUUCAAAUGCUGAAAAUUGAGGAAAAAACAAUGCUGAAAUUAAAACUAAAGGUGAAAAAUAUUUUUUAAUGAUGAAAGUUAAAUAAAAAAUAUUGUUGGAAUUACAUUUUAUUGCUUAAAAAAUAGUUUUUAGUGUUGAAAAAUUAAUAAAACACGCUGAAAAUUUGUUUAAUGGCUGAAAAGUGACUUUUUAUUGCUAGAAAUUAACACAAACAGGCUGAAAAUUAAUUUAGCUGCUGAAAAGUGAUAUGCUGAAACUGAUUUUUAUAUUAUUAAAAGUUAUUUUUUAAGUGCUGAAACUAAUUUUUAUAUUGCUUAAACUGAUUUUUGUAUUGCUGAAAAUUAUUUUUAAAGUCCUGAAACUGAUUUUUAUAUUGCUAAAAUUAUUUAAAGUGCUGAAACUGAUUUUUGUUAUUGCUGAAAAUUAAAAUGCUUAAAUCAUUGAAAAUUAAUUACGAUAUCUGAAAAUUAAAUGAAACAUGUUGAAAAUAGGUUUUUGGCCAAAAGUUAGUUAAUAAUCCCUAGAAUAUGAUUUUUAAGGGAUAAAACAAAUUAUUAAUAAUCAUAGAUUGUAUUUGCCUAAGUGAUAACAUAAAUCAUAUAAAUACACUUAAAUACAUAAUCCUCGCACCCAUAAGUAAUUCCCAUAGAUUUUUAUUACAUAGUGUUAUACAAUCAAUUAUUAUAGACCCGGAUGAAUAAAAGAAAGAAAACAAAUAGGCGACCUAAAAUCCUUGACAACUCUUCAUAUUCCCGGAGCCAAAUCAUACUCUAACAUAAACCUGUCAAGCAUAAAUACAAACACCAAAAUAUGCAAAUAACAACAAUGUAUAACAACUUAUGAUAGCUCACAUAAAUAGAACAAUGACAUCAUAUGAAUAAGAGUUUGGAGCACAAUCAAAGUAAUAACUAAAGUUACGCAUAACUAACACGUAAGUAUUGAAUGCACAGUUAAAAAAACUAACCAAUUGACAGUUCUCAAUAAUAACAAUAAACUUAAUAGAAGACCAGAAAAUCAAGGAAAAAAUCAAAGUCCAUCCUUGCGAAGCAAUAACAAAAAAUAAGAAUCAUAAAGUAUAUAUAUUUUCUAGAGAGAAAGUUCAUGCUUAAAAUUUUCUUUUUCUUUAAUAUAUGAGAGAGUAGGAGAAGAGGAUAAAAGAUGAUUAUAAAGAAAAGAGAAGGGUUGUUUUAGUCUCAAAAAUAAAAGAAAAGGAAAAUAUUUUGUGAAAUCAAUCAAAUGAAAUUUUUCCUUUUAACAAAUAAAAAAAUCAAUUAAUGGAGGGAAUUAUACUUGGUUAUCAUAUAUGAAAAAAUUCAUCCCCAAAAUAAAAGAAAGAAAAUAUUCACAAUAAUCACACAAUCAUACUUAAAUAUGUUAACAAAGUCAGGACAAAAUAAUUAAAAUAUUGGGUAUGAUAUCAUACGGAUUCUUUAUUAUAUAUGAUUAAAUAUCAAAGUUGUCUAAAAUUAAAAUUUUAAAAAAGAUGGUUGGUCCAGAAUCAUACCAUAAUUAGCCGCCUAGUGCUAGCCAAGAAAGUAAUUCAACCACACGUAAGAUAACUAUCAUAAUUCGAAUCUGAAAAGAUCAAAAGUAUUAAAAUUCCAACUUGAUUCGAGGAAAAUUGUAAUUAAUAACAAAUUUAGGGUUCAGAUGAAGUUCAUGAAAAUUGGGGCUUUUCAUAUAUGAUUGUCUAAGCAUGUUAAUGAACCCAAAUCACAAGAAAUUAUAUCAAAAACAUCAAUCAAGGUUUGCCAAUUUCAAAUCACAGAAGAAAGAUUAGAGAAAAAUUAAAUAUAAGAUUAACAACAACAACAAAUAAAUAAAUAAGGUAAAACCUGUGAUGAAUUUCAAGAAAUUAUUAUAAAAAUUAGAUAUUUAAAUUGAGUUUUUUAAUCGAUGUCUCACCGAUCAUCAUCUCCAGUGAGGCAAACAUGGCAGAAAUUUCUCUAGAUGGAUUGUGACAGUAGAGACUGUUGUUGAUGGUUGAAGGAAGGUGUAACAGCUAUUGCUGGCUGCUUCUCUGAUGACACUGGUGGUUUUGUUGGGUUUGUCGUAAUUACUGGCGUUAUUUCACGGUUGGCAGCAAUGUGGAAAGAGGAGAGAGAUGUAGUAGCAUGUUAGUGUUUUUAGAGGGAGAAAGAAAGGGGAGAGAGGGGAACGGUGGUGGCAAUGAAAAUGUUGGUCGUUUGGUGGUCAGCUCCGGUGAUGACAUAUCGAUGAGGGAGAAAAGGUAGAGAGAGAAAACAGAAAGGGGUGUGCAGCUGAUUAGAAGAUGUUUAGGGUUAAGAGGUGUUUUUAGGUUAAUAGGAAAGGAAGAGGGAUUCAAUCUCAGUCGUUGGAUCAAUCUUGAUCAAUGAAUGGGAUUAAAAUUGCAUAAAAAAUUUAGGUUUAAAAAUAUGAAUUAGGAAUUUUAAAAUAGGGUCAUAUUGAAAUGAAUUUUGCUAUAAUUGACAUGCAUCGAGUGCAGAAAUGACUAGAAUUCAAAUUAAUUAGGAAAAAUAGUUUAAUUAGGUUACUAUUUAAUAAAUGUAAUAAUAGUAAAACAUCAUAAAAUUAUUUUUUUCCUUAAAAGUACAUUAUGCAUAUAAGAUUAAUAUUAUAUAAAAAAAUAUUAUAUAAAUCUGUCAGUAUAAUCUUAAAUGAAUUUAUAAUAAGAAUAAAAUAUNNNNNNNNNNNNNNNNNNNNNNNNNNNUAAAGAAUAUUUUUAAAUUACGACUGCAUAUUUGCCAAAAUAAAAUUAUGUAAAAUAUUAUAUUAAAAAUAUAUAAAAGUUAUAAAAAAAAUAAAUGCUUACUUCAAAAACCAUUAAUGCGAUACGUCAAUAUUUAUUUGAUAUCAAAAUAAUACGAAAAAAAUACUAAUAGUCGAACUUAAUAGUUUUUUUUGGAUAAAAUAGCAACCUAAGAGGCAUAUCAGGAGGUUAAAAUUGGGUGUCAACAGUUGCCCCUUCGUUGCUUGAAAAUGAUAAAAGAAUUGUUGAGCAACAAAAGAUGACAUAGUAGCCAAUUUUUUCUGAUCGAGAAAAUAGUUUGUUGGAAUUAACGCAACAGGAGAUGGUUAUUAAAACAGUGUGGUUUAGACUUUGGAUUUCAGCCACCUACAUAUCUCUGAUGUCACGAGAAUCAGGAUGUAUGUAGUUCUAGAUUUAGGAAUGAAUGGGAUUCCUAAAGAAAGAUUGAUGAAUGUAGAAUUUGAAUAAUAAUGACACAAAUAGACAAGAUAAGAGUGUGAGUAGUUUCGAAAUAUGAAAUAUGAAUAUGUUUUAGGACAUGUAAAGAAAAAUAUGGAUAAAGAAUUAUGUUUCAAAAGUAGGAGAGAGAUAAUUGUUUAAUCGCUCUUAUCUACUGAAAAUUCAAUAGUAUCUCAAAUAAGGUUCGGUGAGAAACCCAAUGUCAUGUUAAGGUUCUACAAGGAACCCAAUUGCGUUAAGGUUCUACAUGGAAUCCACUAUUAAAUAUCGUUUUAAGGUUCAAUGAGGAACCCAAUAUUGAAUGUCAUUUUAAGGUUCAGUUAGGAACCCAAUCUCAAAUGUCGUGUGAGGAACCCAAUGCCGAAUGUCAUUUUAAGGGUCGGUGAGGAACCCCAUGUCGAAUGUCAUUUUAAGGUUCGAUGAGGAACCCAAUGUCAAGUGUUGUUUUAAGGUUCGACUAGGAAACCAAUGUCAAAUGUUGUUUUAAGGUUUGGCAAGAAACUCAAUGUCGAAUGUCAUUUUAAGGUUCGAUUAGGAACCCAAUGUUGAAUGUCAUUUUAAGGUUCCGCGAGGAACCCAAUGUCGAAUGUCAUUGUCAUGACCCAAAAAAUGACCUGGCUAUGAUAGGCAUCUCAAGUCCACUGAGGAACGUAGACCACCCCCUUUGCCUAUCCAAACAGAACACAAUACAACUAGAAAUGGAUGAAUUCCAAACAUAUACCAAGAUAGACCCUUGUUCUAAACAUAUAACAAGAUAGUUAAGAAACUAGGUCAUAAAUAAAUCUAAGAACUUUAACAUCCAUCACAAUUUACAGUAAUUCAUAAAGCCUCUAGUAAUCAAUAACAACCUAAGUCGGGAAAUGCCCUCGACCAUAGUCAAAAUCAAUCCAAAAGUAAUAGGCCAAAACAUGAAUAAAAUGAGACCAUAAAAUGAGGGUAUUUUGGAUAAUAGAAGCUCACAACUUCAAAGAUGACUGAUGAACUAUCUAGGAAUCACCUAUCACUGCGCAGGGAAAGCAGAAGUGUCUCCAUUUCCUACAUUAGGUGGGGAUACAACAUUCGGAGACGGUUAGCAGGGUGAACACUAGCAUGUAACUCAAGAUAAGGAUAAAAUAAUGCCAUUUCAAAAUCCAAUCCAAACUCAAUGUACAUGUUCAUAUACAUACAUAUAUACAUACAUAUUUAUUUCAGAUGCCAGGAUAAAGAACAAGGCUUAGCAUGAUAUUUAAAAUCAUUAACCUGGAGUGUAUACCUCUAACCAUCCUAAGGGCAUCCAUGGGCUAUAUGGGUUCAACUUUUCUUCCCCCCGAGACCUCCACCUUUCACAGUGAGCUACACAAUAUCCUUUAAGCCCAAUUAAAAUAAUUUUCCCAUAACCCAUCCAUUUAACCAAGAAAUUAUUCGUUAACGCAUCAACCACAGGUAUCGUCAUACCAUUACGUUGAAAGCUUAAGAUUCUGCCAUAGCAAUUCCAUCAAUUGGUGGAAUCCCAUGACCCUUUCUUUUAUUAAAUCAAGUUGGAGGAGUGCCCACGACCCUCUUUGUUCAUUAAAUCAAGUUUAAAAUAAAAAGCAUGGACAAUAAAUCCUUCAAAACCCUUUUUAUCUAUUUAACCAUUUAUGCAAUGCAAUUGUUUAGGAGAAUAAGCCAAAUCGUGUGAUUAAAUAUAUUCUAAAUCCAACUAUGCAAGUGGGUUGAGGGAACGCAAUUCCUAAACCAAAUUUCAAAACCAAAAUCAUCAAUUUAGGUGAAUACCUCAACCCCCAUUCCAUUCACCCUACCCAUGCACCCAAAGGGAUUCAAAAUACAUUAAUAAAACAUGAACACUUGUAUUAAAACCAUGAAAAUUUAAAUCAAGUAACAAUCCUUCAAAACCCUCAAUCCAAUUCAAAAUCCAUAUUCAAAUUCACAUGAAUGACCAUUUAAACACAUGAUUUAAGUACGACGAGUUUAAGAAUAGAGGUACAUGCCUGAAAGUAUUAGGAAUUAUAGAGGGAAAUUAAUCUCUAAGCCCUAGAUGAUCAACCUUGAGAAACCCUAGCCUUGUUCUUGCUUUAAGGAAUUUGAGAAAAUAGAUGUGUAAUUUGAUUUCUUUUGGAGUGAUAAUAAGACCCAAAAGUGCUCGUAAGUCAUGGGUCAUAAUUGGGAAAAGAGGGAAAUGAGAAAAGUGCCCUCAAUUACAGCAAAAGAAAAUUUGUUGCCUGUGACUGCGAGUCACGUCACGACUUAUGAUGCCUGGUUAUGAUUCAUCACCACAACUCAUAGUCUAGGUGGAGACAUGGGGACACCUUACUAUUUGUCAUACCUCAUGAUUUUUCCUAGCUUAAACUUGUCUUGAGAAUGACAAUGAGUAGAUUGUAGAAUAAGUGGUGUUUUUGUCCUAUGGAAUUCUUUAUAUUUAGACUUUCUAUUGUGUAGGAAAUUGAAUUAGCUUUCCAAGAAUAUAAGAUUCUCCUAAAUCCGAUAAUCGGGUAAGAAGUUAUGGCUAUUUUAACUGUCAAUCGUAAAACACCGUCAUUUAGACCCUUAGCGCGUUGCAGAGUAGUGUUAAUUUCUAAUUGUUAAUUUUUAGUGACCCUCCACAAUAUUGAAAUAUCGUGGAGAGAUCCAAAUUCCUAAUUGUCUAAUUCUAGAGAAGGUUAGCGAUAAUGGCGCGUCGCGCUGAGUUUCCAGGUCCCAUCCAAGGAGGCAGGGCGAUACCUCCGCGUCGCGCCACUAAGUAUUUUCCUAGUUGGCAUUUUCCGGUGGCUUUGCGCGAUAGUGUCGCAUCUCUAAGGCCAAAAAUUGGGACCCCAGUUUAUUUUUCCAGUUUCGUUCAGGAGUUAAAGAGAGGUAUUUUGGACUUUUCCCCAACCCCCAAUCCGUCCUAACACAUGAUUAAAGCCUUUUAGAAGAAACAUAUGCUAAGUUUCAUCAAAAUUACUCUCAUCCAAAACCCUAGGCUUCAACAUUCAUGUCCAAGAAACUCAAAAUUUCACAAUCCUUUUUCCAAGCUGAAAGGGUCCCAGUGCGUGUUAGCCGCAUGAAUCAGGAAUAUCCAAGGAUGAUCCAGGGGAUGCCUCGACCACAGUUAAUCCCAAAUAUAUAUAAGUACAAACUAUGCACACGUUCAUAAAGACUCCCAAGCCGACAAACAUGGUUUCCAGUAUCGAUCCCCCCGAGACCUCCACCUUUCACAGUGAGCUACACAAUAUCCUUUAAGCCCAAUUAAAAUAAUUUUCCCAUAACCCAUCCAUUUAACCAAGAAAUUAUUCGUUAACGCAUCAACCACAGGUAUCGUCAUACCAUUACGUUGAAAGCUUAAGAUUCUGCCAUAGCAAUUCCAUCAAUUGGUGGAAUACCAUGACCCUUUUUUUUAUUAAAUCAAGUUGGAGGAGUGCCCACGACCCUCUUUGUUCAUUAAAUCAAGUUUAAAAUAAAAAGCAUGGACAAUAAAUCCUUCAAAACCCUUUUUAUCUAUUUAACCAUUUAUGCAAUGCAAUUGUUUAGGAGAAUAAGCCAAAUCGUGUGAUUAAAUAUAUUCUAAAUCCAACUAUGCAAGUGGGUUGAGGGAACGCAAUUCCUAAACCAAAUUUCAAAACCAAAAUCAUCAAUUUAGGUGAAUACCUCAACCCCCAUUCCAUUCACCCUACCCAUGCACCCAAAGGGAUUCAAAAUACAUUAAUAAAACAUGAACACUUGUAUUAAAACCAUGAAAAUUUAAAUCAAGUAACAAUCCUUCAAAACCCUCAAUCCAAUUCAAAAUCCAUAUUCAAAUUCACAUGAAUGACCAUUUAAACACAUGAUUUAAGUACGACGAGUUUAAGAAUAGAGGUACAUGCCUGAAAGUAUUAGGAAUUAUAGAGGGAAAUUAAUCUCUAAGCCCUAGAUGAUCAACCUUGAGAAACCCUAGCCUUGUUCUUGCUUUAAGGAAUUUGAGAAAAUAGAUGUGUAAUUUGAUUUCUUUUGGAGUGAUAAUAAGACCCAAAAGUGCUCGUAAGUCAUGGGUCAUAAUUGGGAAAAGAGGGAAAUGAGAAAAGUGCCCUCAAUUACAGCAAAAGAAAAUUUGUUGCCUGUGACUGCGAGUCACGUCACGACUUAUGAUGCCUGGUUAUGAUUCAUCACCACAACUCAUAGUCUAGGUGGAGACAUGGGGACACCUUACUAUUUGUCAUACCUCAUGAUUUUUCCUAGCUUAAACUUGUCUUGAGAAUGACAAUGAGUAGAUUGUAGAAUAAGUGGUGUUUUUGUCCUAUGGAAUUCUUUAUAUUUAGACUUUCUAUUGUGUAGGAAAUUGAAUUAGCUUUCCAAGAAUAUAAGAUUCUCCUAAAUCCGAUAAUCGGGUAAGAAGUUAUGGCUAUUUUAACUGUCAAUCGUAAAACACCGUCAUUUAGACCCUUAGCGCGUUGCAGAGUAGUGUUAAUUUCUAAUUGUUAAUUUUUAGUGACCCUCCACAAUAUUGAAAUAUCGUGGAGAGAUCCAAAUUCCUAAUUGUCUAAUUCUAGAGAAGGUUAGCGAUAAUGGCGCGUCGCGCUGAGUUUCCAGGUCCCAUCCAAGGAGGCAGGGCGAUACCUCCGCGUCGCGCCACUAAGUAUUUUCCUAGUUGGCAUUUUCCGGUGGCUUUGCGCGAAUUGUUUAGGAGAAUAAGCCAAAUCGUGUGAUUAAAUAUAUUCUAAAUCCAACUAUGCAAGUGGGUUGAGGGAACGCAAUUCCUAAACCAAAUUUCAAAACCAAAAUCAUCAAUUUAGGUGAAUACCUCAACCCCCAUUCCAUUCACCCUACCCAUGCACCCAAAGGGAUUCAAAAUACAUUAAUAAAACAUGAACACUUGUAUUAAAACCAUGAAAAUUUAAAUCAAGUAACAAUCCUUCAAAACCCUCAAUCCAAUUCAAAAUCCAUAUUCAAAUUCACAUGAAUGACCAUUUAAACACAUGAUUUAAGUACGACGAGUUUAAGAAUAGAGGUACAUGCCUGAAAGUAUUAGGAAUUAUAGAGGGAAAUUAAUCUCUAAGCCCUAGAUGAUCAACCUUGAGAAACCCUAGCCUUGUUCUUGCUUUAAGGAAUUUGAGAAAAUAGAUGUGUAAUUUGAUUUCUUUUGGAGUGAUAAUAAGACCCAAAAGUGCUCGUAAGUCAUGGGUCAUAAUUGGGAAAAGAGGGAAAUGAGAAAAGUGCCCUCAAUUACAGCAAAAGAAAAUUUGUUGCCUGUGACUGCGAGUCACGUCACGACUUAUGAUGCCUGGUUAUGAUUCAUCACCACAACUCAUAGUCUAGGUGGAGACAUGGGGACACCUUACUAUUUGUCAUACCUCAUGAUUUUUCCUAGCUUAAACUUGUCUUGAGAAUGACAAUGAGUAGAUUGUAGAAUAAGUGGUGUUUUUGUCCUAUGGAAUUCUUUAUAUUUAGACUUUCUAUUGUGUAGGAAAUUGAAUUAGCUUUCCAAGAAUAUAAGAUUCUCCUAAAUCCGAUAAUCGGGUAAGAAGUUAUGGCUAUUUUAACUGUCAAUCGUAAAACACCGUCAUUUAGACCCUUAGCGCGUUGCAGAGUAGUGUUAAUUUCUAAUUGUUAAUUUUUAGUGACCCUCCACAAUAUUGAAAUAUCGUGGAGAGAUCCAAAUUCCUAAUUGUCUAAUUCUAGAGAAGGUUAGCGAUAAUGGCGCGUCGCGCUGAGUUUCCAGGUCCCAUCCAAGGAGGCAGGGCGAUACCUCCGCGUCGCGCCACUAAGUAUUUUCCUAGUUGGCAUUUUCCGGUGGCUUUGCGCGAUAGUGUCGCAUCUCUAAGGCCAAAAAUUGGGACCCCAGUUUAUUUUUCCAGUUUCGUUCAGGAGUUAAAGAGAGGUAUUUUGGACUUUUCCCCAACCCCCAAUCCGUCCUAACACAUGAUUAAAGCCUUUUAGAAGAAACAUAUGCUAAGUUUCAUCAAAAUUACUCUCAUCCAAAACCCUAGGCUUCAACAUUCAUGUCCAAGAAACUCAAAAUUUCACAAUCCUUUUUCCAAAUUGUUUCAAGAUUUAAGAUCCCUAGACCAAGAGCUUCAAGAAUCUUCAUUCAAGAGCACAAAUAACAUCUCAAAAGAAAGCUUAUUCAAUUAGUUCAUUACCUAAGGUAUGUGGGGUUUGAAAAAGGACAAAUCUUUCGUCCUUAUGCCCAAGAACUUGAUUUUUAUUAAAGAUUACAUAAUUUGCAAGUUAGGGUUGAUACCCAAUUCUUAUUAUUUUUUGUUUAUGAAAUUAUCAUGUUAUUUAAGGCUUCAAUUGCAAAAUAUUUACAUAUAUCCAUGUUUGAAAUCAUGAGAUUUAUAUUGUGAGUUAUUUUCCACUAUCUUGAUUAAGAUUGCUGAAAGUUUCUAAGAUAAUUAUUGAUCAUGAAGUUUAAAUAUGAUUUUUCUAUAUCAAAGCUUUAUACUUUGAGUCCUAAAGUACACGUAAUGAGUUAACAAGGAGAUUAUGAUCUCAAGUUUUAUUGAAAAUUUUUGAUAUGUGCUUUCAAGAGCAAAGAUUUGAUCUUUUGACCCUAAGCUAAGACAAGGAAUCCACAUUUACGUAGUUUGAGUUUUAAAAAAGAGAAGCAUAAUCUGUUUUAAUUAUAAAACCUUAUGAUAUUUUAAGGUGGAUUUCGUCAAGUUCUGAGCAGAAGAAGGGAGUAGUAUUUGACACCAAGUUGGGUAUGAUCCCAAGGACUCAUGCCCCGGAACUACAUGCUACCGUAGGACUAAGUUUAUUCCCACUUCUACAUGGAUGACUAAGAUGGUGAUCACUCAAGUUAAGGUUCUAGUUUGAUGGAAAGGAUAGAACAGCUCUCCCCAAUGUGAUAAGAUGUUGACUCCAUGUCAGCUCAUAUGGUUUAUGCCGGUUAGAAGAAACUUCCAAGCACAAAGUCUCUAAGUCCCAAAGUUUUUAAGUUUCAAAAGAAAAGAAUGGUAGAAAAGCUUUUAUAAGACUGUGUUAUAACUCACUAGAUUUACAAGUAUGAUUGGUUGUACAUGAUUUAUAUUUCGAUAUUUUGGAUAAUCAAACUUAUGUGAGUUGUAUACAUCUACAUGCAUUUACUUUCUAAUUAUGAUGAUGUUUACUUAUACAUUACACCCUCAUAUACUCAGUACAUCCUCAAUGUGCUGAUCCACAUAUACGUCUAUGUGCUACAUUGUCUUAUAAUAUAGGUUCAGGUGCUUCGUAUCAACAACGUGAGUAUUUUGAGCAACUUUAUCUACGCUUCCAAAGUUGGUGAGUCCUCAUGAUUCGAGGUCCUACUUAUUUAGAUUUCCAACUUUAUAGUAUUUUAGUUAUCGUUGUCAAUUUAGUCUGAUACAGUUGGGGGUCUGUUCCAAUGGCUCUCUAGUUCUUUAUAAGUAGUAGAGGCUUGUCGGACUAUGAGUUAUUUACAGAUUUUCAGUAUUUUUUGUUUAGAAUUUAUCUUCAGUUUAGGUAUGAUACAAUAUUAUUUCUUGACUAGAUGAUCUUUAAGUAAUGUUCAGACUUAGUAGCAGGCUCAAAUGGUUAGCUUGAGGCUACUCGUAGCCUUGAGCACCGUGUGACAUCCCGGGAUCAGAUUUUGGGGCAUUAAAAACUUAGUAUCAGAGACUAAGGUUUAGAGAGUCCUAGGGAGUCAAACAAGCCACGUUGCAUAGAGUCUUAAUCAUCGGUGUGAAGAGUACCACAUCUAUGAGCAAGAGGCUAUGGAGCAUUUUAGGAAAAUCCUUUUUUCUUUCAUAAUCCAUCAUGCUUAGAAUUGUCUCUAUCUGCUAUUAAUUCGUGCUCCUUUAUGAUCGAACAUGCCUCCCCGUAAAGCUAAUGCCCAUAGAAAUAAUAACCAACCGCCUCAGCCCGCAGAUUCUUUGAAUGAGAAUGUGUCACAUGUAGAGUUUGGGAUAGCUUUUUAGGCGUUAGCCCAAGCUGUGACUACUAAUAUUAAAGGUAAUCAUCAGGCUACAGUCCUACCUCAGCAGGAUGGGGAUUUAGCCGCAGUCAGAAUUCAAGACUUUAUGAGAAUGAAUCCGUUGGAAUUUUUUGGGUCGAAAGUAGGUGAGGACCCACAAUUGUAUCUUGAUGAGGUGAAGAACAUCACCCAAGUGAUGCAUGUUACUAAGGAAGAGAGUGUAGAAUUGGCAUCCUAUAGGCCAAAGGAUGUUGCUUAUGAUUGGGUAAUGAUGUGGAAGAAGAGUAGAGUGGAGAAUGUAGCUCCCAUGACUUGGCAGACAUUUCAGGAUGCGUUCUUAGACAAAUUCUUCCCACUUGAGAUGAGGGAAUCUAAGAUAGAAGAGUUCAUAAACCUGAGGCAGGGCUCCAUGACAGUGAAGGAGUAUUACCUCAAGUUCAACCAGUUAUCUAAGUAUGCCCAGAUCAGAUGGCUGACCCAAGGUCAAGCAUGAGCAAGUUAGUGACCGGUGUGACUGGAUUGGUAGUUAAGGAGUAUAGAACUGCUAUACUCAAUAGAGACAUGGAUCUUUCUAGAUUGAUGAUGCAUGCUCAGUAGAUUUAGGCAGAGAAGAUGAAGGAAAGAGAGAGAGUAACUAAGAGGGCUAGAAUAGGGAAAUUUGAGUAUGGUCAGACUAGAUCCUAUGGGGGGAAUUGCCCACAAUUUUAGAACCGUUCGUCUAUGCCGGAGCCAUUUUUAGCUAGUGCUAUCACUCUCAGAGGUAGGCAGGAGCAGUAGGGUAAGUCUUCUAAGUCUAGAUUCCAGAAUGGCGUGAUUGGUAAGCCUAAUUAUCCUCCAUGUGCUAAGUAUGGUAAAACACAUCCCGAUGAGUGCUUGGUCGAGCAGAAGAGUUAUUUUGGUUUCGGAAAGUUGGUACACAGAAUUAGAGAGUGUUCAUAUGCUAAGUAUAGAAACAGAGAUAUUUAUCCUCAGAUUCAAGCUACCAGUACACCAACCCUUGUAGUUGGCCCAACUCCUCUUCAGGGCACAUCAUCUAGUACCAGUGGUGGUCAGCACCAGAAUCAAUUUUAUGCUGUGCCAUUUCAUCAGGAACAGGAAUAUUCCCUAUAUAUUGUGACUAGUAUGCUUCGUAUAUUUCAUUUUGAUGUUUAUGUAUUGUUAGACCCUGGGUCAAGUUUCUCUUAUGUGACCCCAUUAGUUGCUGUAAAUUUUAAGAUAAGUUUGAAAAGUUUCCUGAGCCAUUCUUGGUUUCUACUCCAGUAGGUGAGUCAAUUGUUGCCAAAUAGAUUUAUAAAAAGUGUUCUAUCACCGUCCUUCAUAAAGUAAUGUUAUCAGACCUGAUAGAGCUAGACAUGAUUAAUUUUGAUCCUAUUCUGGGUAUGGAUUGGCUUCAUUCUGAUUAUACUUAUAUAGAUUGCCGCACCAGAGUGGUGAAGUUUCAAUUCCCAGAUGAGCCAUUCUUUGAGUGGUCAGGUAAUUCAGUGUCUCCCAAGAGUCAUUUCAUAUCUUAUCUUAAGGCCAGAAGGUUGAUUUCCAAAGGUUGCAUUUACCAUUUAGUUCGAGUUAAAGACACUAAGUCUAAGACCCCAACAGUUCAAACAGUCAAUGUAGUAAAUGAGUUUCCAGAUGUCUUUCCAGAAGAUCUCCCAAGGGUACCUCCCAAUUGAGAGAUAGAAUUUGGUAUUGACCUUCUUCCAGAUACUCAGACUUUUUCUAUUCCUCCUUACCUUAUGGAUCCCACAGAGCUUAAGGAGUUGAAGGAGCCACUUAAAGAUCUCUUAGAUAAAGUUUUCAUAAGGCCUAGUAUUUCUCCAUGGGGAGUUCCCCUCCUAUUCGCGUGAAAGAAAGAUGGUUCGUUGCGUAUGUGCAUUGACUAUCGUCAGCUAAAUAAGGUCACAGUCAAGAAUAAAUAUCCUCUUCCUAGAAUUGAUGACCUGUUUGAUCAAUUAAAAGCUGUAAGUUAUUUCUCAAAGAUAGACUUGAGAUCCAGCUAUCAUCAGCAUAAAGUUAGGGAAUGUGAUAUUCCGAAGACUGCUUUUAGAACUCGUUAUGGUCAUUUUGAGUUUCUAGUUAUGUCUUUUGGGCUAACCAAUGCUCCAGCAGCUUUCAUGGACCUCAUGAAUCAAGUGUUCAAGCAAUACCUAGAUAUGUUUGUCAUACUGUUCAUAGAUGAUAUCCUUGUGUACUCCCGUAGUGAGGAUGACCAUGCAGAUCAUCUUUAAAUUGUCUUGUAAACUCUUAAAGAUCAUUAAUUGUUCACUAAGUUCAGCAAGUGUGAAUUUUGGCUAAGGUCAGUAGCCUUUCUCGGUCAUAUUAUUUUCGCCGAUGGAAUUAGAGUUGAUCCCCAAAAGACAGAAGUCAUAAGAAAUUGGCCUAGACUUAUCUCUCCAUUGGAUAUUAGGAUUUUCUUGGGUCUAGCAGGCUAUUACCACCAUUUUUUUUGAAGGUUUCUCGUUUAUUGCAUCUCUUAUGUCUAGAUUGAUCCAAAAGAAAGUUAAGUUCCUAUGAUCAGAUUCCUGUAAGAAGAGUUUUCAGGAGUUGAAGACUCGAUUCACUUUAUCCCUAGUGUUAGCAUUACUUGAUGGUACAGAUGGUUUUGUGGUGUAUUAUAUUGCCUCUAGAGUUUGUUUGGGUUGUGUGUUGAUUCAGAGAGGUAAUGUCAUAGCCUAUGCCUUUAUACAGUUUAAGACUCAUGAAAAUAAUUACCCAACCCAUGAUUGGAAUUAGCUGCUGUGGUGUUUGCUUUGAAAAUAUAGAGACACUAUCUAUAUGGUAUUAAUAUUGAUGUGUUCACAGACCAAAAAAACUUACAGUAUGUGUUUACUCAGAGGGAGUUGAAUCUCUAUCAGAGAAGGUGGUUGGAGUUGUUGAAGGAUUAUGAUAUGAGUGUGUUGUAUUAUCCGGGCAAGGCAAACGUAGUAGUAGACACCCUUAGUAGAUUAUCUAUGGAAAAUGUUGCUCAUAUUGAGAAUGAUAAGAAAGAUUUAGCUCGAGAAGUUUAUCUCUUGUCUAGAUUGGGUGUUAGGUUGGUUGAUUCAGCUGAAAGGAAUGUUUGGGUUCAGAGUAGUUCUGAGUCUUCCCUAGUUUCAGAAGUAAAGGAGAAGCAAGACAUGGAUUUUAGUUUGGCCAAACUGAAAAAGUCAGUUAAAGGCCAAAAGGUAAAGGUUUUCACCCAAGGGAGAUGACGUGUUGAGAUACCAGUGUAUUAUGUGUGCCUUGUUUAGAUGAUCUGAGACAAAGAAUUAUGGCUGAAGUACAUGGUGCACGUUAUUAUCCAUCUUAGUUCAAUUUUUCACCCUCAGACAGAUGGUCAAACAGAGAGGACCAUUCAAACUCUAGAGGAUAUGUUGGGGAUGUGUGCUCUUGAUUUCAAAGGUAGUUGUGAUGAGCAUUUUCCAUUGAUUGAGUUUUCUUAUAAUAACAGUUACCAUUCUAGCAUUCAGAUGGACUCAUUUGAGGCUCUGUAUGGGAGGAGAUGUAGGUUACCUAUAGGUUGGUUUGACAUAGGUGAGGCCUUUUUGCUGGGGCCUGAUGUAGUGUUUAAAGCCAUAAAAGAAGUUAAGUUGAUUAGAUAAAUAUUGAAAACAACCCAGAGUUGUCAGAAAUCGUAUAUGGAUGUGAGAAGGAGAGAUCUUAGGAUUGAAGUUGGUGAUUUAGUGUAUCUGAAGAUUUCACCCAUGAAAGGGGUGAAGAGAUUUGGAAAGAAGGGGAAACUUAGUCCCCGGUAUAUUAGGCAUUAUUGAAUUUUGAGUCGUGUUGGGAAAGUAGCUUAUGAGCUUCAGUUGGCCAUAGACUUCUCAGUCUUUCAUCCUGUAUUCCACGUCUCUAUACUUAAGAAGAGUAUCGGUGACUCUACUGUUGUAGUUCCUAUAGAAAGCUCAGAUGUUCAGGACAACCUUUCAUAUAAAGAGAUUCCAGUUGAGAUUUUAGAUCAUCACAUCCGUAGACUAAGGAACAAAGAAGUUUUCUUGGUCAAAGUUCUUUGGAAAAAUCAGUCGGUUGAGGGCACUACUUGGGAAGCAGAUACAGAUAUGCGAGCCAAAUACCCUCACCUUUUCCCCGCAAACUCAGGUCUAGCCAAAGGUAAUACUCUUCCUUGAUUCAGUUCCUUUCUAAUAACAUAUCCAACAAUAUAGAUGUCCUCAUGUAAGUUCAUGCACUUACAGAGUUACUUAGAAGCUCAGAAUGAUUUAGAUUUAGUUGUUAGUUCAUUUCAAUUGUGCAUGCUAUCUUAUAUUCUCAUAUUCCUUAUAACUUUCAACUUAACUAGACACAUUGGAGGACGAAUGUUUCCAAAGGGGAGAUAUUAUAAUACCUCACAAUUUUUCCUAGCUUAAACUCAUCCUGAGAACGACAAGGAGUAUCUUCUAGAAUGAGUGGUGUUUCUGUGAUGUGGAAUUCUUUAGAUUUAGACUUUCUAUUGCAUAGAAAUUGAAUUAGGUUUCUAACGAUAUAAGAGUAGCCUAAAUCUUAUAACCGGGUAAGUAGUUAUGGCUAUUUUAAGUUCCAGUCAUAAAACACCGUUAUUUGGAUCCUUAGCGCAUUGCGGAUCAGUGUUAAUUCCUAAUUGUCAAUUUUUAGUGGCCUUCCACGAUAUUGGGAUAUCGCGGGGAGAGCCAAAUUUCCAAUUGUCCAAUUUCAGUGAAGGUCCGCAAUAAUGGCGCGUCGCGUCGAGUUUCCAGGUCCCAUCCAAGGUGGCAACGUGAUACCUCCUCGUUGCGCCACCAAGCAUUUUCCCAGUUAGCAUGUUCCAGUGGCUUGGCGCGAUGUGGCACGUCGCGCCAAGGCUAAAAAUUGAGACCCCCGUUUCAUUCAGGAGUUAAAGGGGGUAUUUUGGACUUUUUCUCAACCCCCAAUCCGUCCAAACACAUGAUUAAAGCCUUUUAGAAGCAUUAUAUGCUAAGUUUUAUCAAAAUUACUCUCAUCCAAAAUCCUAGGCUUCAACAUUCAUCUCCAAGAAACUCAAGAUUUCACCAUCCUUUUUCCAAAUUGUUUCAAGAUUUAAGAUCCCUAGACCAAGAGCUUCAAGAAUCUUCAUUCAAGAGCACAAAUAGCAUCUCAAAAAGCAAGCUUAUUUAUUUAGUUCAUCAUCUAAGGUAUGUGGGGUUUGAACAAUGAUAAAUCUUUUGUCCUUGUGCCCAAAAACUUAAUUUUUAUUAAAGAUUACAUGAUUUGCAAGUUACGGUUGAUACUCAAUUCUUAUUAUUUUUCAUUUGUGAAGUUAUCAUGUUAUUUAAGGCUUCAAUUGCAAAAGAUUUACACAUAUCUAUGUUUGAAAUCAUGAGAUUUAUAUUAUGAGUUAUUUUCCACUAUCUUGAUUAAAAUUGUUAAAAGCUUCUAAGAUAAUUGUUGAGCAUGAAGUUUAAAUACAAUUUUUAUGCAUCAAGGAUUUAUACUUUGAGUCCUAAAGUACAAGUAAUGAGUUUACAAGGAGAUUAUGAUCUCAAGUUUUAUUAACAAGUUUUGAUAAGUGCUUUCAAGAGCAAAGAUUUGAUCUUUUGAUACUAAGCUAAGACAAGGAAUCCACAUUUUUCACAUUAUUUGAGUUUUAAAGAAGAGAAGCAUAAUCAGUUUUAAUUAUAAAUCCUUAUGCUAUUUUAAGGUGGAUUUUCUAAAGUUCUGAGCAUAAGAUGGGAGUAGUAUUUAGCACCGAGUUGGGUAUGAUUCCAAGGUCUUAUGUCGCAAAACUACGUGCCACCGUAGGACAAAGAUUAAUCCCACUUCUACGUGGUUGACUAAGAUGGUGAUCACUCAAGUUAAGGUUCUAUUCCGAUGGCAAGGGUAGAAUAGCUCUCCCCAAUAUGGGUAAGAAGUUAGACUCUAUGUCAGCUCACAUGGUUUAUGUCGGUUAGAAGAAACUCCCAAGCCCAAAGUCUCUAAGUCCCAAAGUUUCUAAGUUUCAAAAGAAAAGAAUGAUAGAAAAGCUUUUACAAGAUAGUGUUAUGACUCACUAGAUUUACAAGUAUGAUUGGUUGUACAUGAUUUUAUAUUUCGAUAUUUUGGAUAAUCAAGCUUAUGUAAGUCAUAUACAUCCACAUGCAUUUACUUUCUAAUUAUGAUGAUGUUUACUUAUGCAUUACACCCUCAUUUACUCAGUACAUCUUCAAAGUGCUGAUCCACAUAUACGUCUAUGAGCUACAUUGUCUUAUAAUAUAGGUUCUGGUGUUCCGUAUCAACAACGUGAGUACAGUUGGUUAGUCCUCAUGAUUCGAGGGCCUAGUUCUUCUGAUUUCCAACUUUUAUAGUAUUUGAGCUAUCAUUUUCAAUUUAGUCCGAGUCAGUUGGGGGUCUGUCCUAAUGGCUCUCUAGUUCUUUAUAAGUAGCAGAGGGUUGUUGGACUACGAGUUAUUUAAAGAAUUUCAGUAGUUGUUGUUCAGACCUUAUCUUCAGUUUAUUCAGUUCAGUUUUGGUACGAUAAUGUAUUAUUUCUUGACUAUAUGAUCUUAAAGUAAGGUUCAGACUUAGUAGCAGGCUCAAAGGGUUAUCUUGAGGCUACUCGUAGCCUUGAGUACAAUGUGAUGUCCUGAGAUCAAAUUUUGGGGCGUUACACUAUUUACCCUACAAGUCAAACCCUACAACUCAUACACGGAUCUUUCGAAUCGUAGGGUCCUAGUCGUAACCACAACAUUGACUUAGGCAUCUACACUGGUUUGACUGCGCAAAGCACCCUAUGACUCAUAAAGAGUUAUUAUGACUCGUGACAUCCCAGUCGUAGUCACAAUAGAAACAAGGGCAACCUUUAUUGGUCACCUCACAACUCGAUCCCUGUGACCCAUAAUAUGACCCUAUGACUCGUUAGAUGAGCCAUAAUCUGAGCAGUGAGGUCUAAACUCAAUAAAUUUUUAGAGGAUAAAAUCUAGGGUGCUACAUUUACCCCUCUAGGAUUAUUCAUCCCCGAAUGAGGUGUCGAAACAUACAUUAUCACAACUAUAAGACAGACACACAACCAUAAUUCCUUUAACAAAGUAAAAAAACAAAUAGAGUAGGAAUAUCCAUACCUUAAGCACGAUUAUCCAAUCCGGGGAAUAAGAACGGGUACUUAGACUUCAUGUCCUCUUCAACUUCCCAAGUAACUUAUUCAACCUUUUGGUUCCUCGAUCGAACAUUUACCAAACCAUAUCCUUAGUCCUCAAAUGAUGGAUUUGUCGAUUCAAAAUAUCUAUCGGGACUUCCUCAUAAGACAAGGAACUCAAAAUAAUAAUAUCUUCAAUAGGCACCACCAAAGAAGCAUCACCCAUGCUCUUCUUCAACAUUGAAACAUGGAAAAUCGGGUGAAUGAAACCCAAAUUUAAAGGCAAAUCUAACUCAUAAGCAACCUUCUCCAAUCUCCUUAAAAUCAAGUACAGACCAACAUAAUGGGGGCUAAGCUUUCCCUUAUUCCCAAACCUCAUCACUCCAUUCAUAGGAGAUACCUUCAAGAACACCCAAUCCCCAACCUCAAACUCACCCUCCCUCUCUCGUAUCCAUAUAGGACUUUUGGCGACUUUAAGCAGUCUUAAGUCUAUCCCUAAUUAUUUUCACCCUCUCCAUGGCUUGGUGAACCAAGUCUGGACCGAACAAUCUAGUCUCACAAACCUUAAACCACCUGAUAAGAGAUCUAUACCUCCUACUAUAAAAGAAGAAAUCCAAAUACUAGAGUGAUAACUAUUAGUAGAUGCAAAUUUAAUAAGAGGCAAAUAAUUUACCUAACAGCCUCUAAAAUCGAUCACAUAUACCCUUAGCAUAUCUUUCAAUGUUCGAAUAGUCCUCUUUGCUUGUCCAUCUGUCUGAGGGUGGAAUACGGUGCUAAGUUUUAUGUUAAUGCCCACGCUACACCUUCACUCUGAAGGUUAUGCAACCGCUAUCAUAUAUAGUAACAUAACAAAGGUUGGGGUCGAAUCCUAAGGGAAUACGCAGAAUUGUGGCUCUCAACUGUUGUAAUCAAUGGGCAGAACAAGAAAAGUAAAUUGGGAGUUCUGAGUAGCAAUAUCAAACAAGUGGCGAAUAUCAACUUUGGCUAUAAUCAGUCAUAGGUAAAUACUAGGAUUGUGUUCCCCCUAGAUUAUCAACUUUAUAGGAUUAUCGUGCAUUGUUGAACUAACCCGAUACCUUGCAUACAAAAUCGAUAAGUUAUAUACCAUCUACAGUCUUUGGAUGAGUAGAUAGAUUUUACCCCUUACCUUUUGAGUCUUAGGAUGUUGCCUUACUAACACUUAUCUUGAUCCCAGUUAAAUAUUACCUUUUGAGUCUCUAGUUAUUAGAGGAAAGCUAGCCAUCUUACUUACAUAAUACCUAGUAGCGUGGAUCGAUAGCUAACCAUUAAAUUAAUGUUGUUAGUAUUUUUUCGUAGUCAUUACUGUUCUUUUGGAAUAAGUAGCAAUAGUCUUGGUGGGAUCCUAAAAUUUACAACUGCUAAGAUAACUUUUAAAUGAAGACAAUACAAUGCAUGCAUGGUAUUGGUUCAAAACAACACUCGCACAUUCCCUACUUUAUCAAUCCACCAUAGUUUCCAUAACCCUAGCUAAGGAUUUUUAGCAGCUCAUGCUUGUGAAGUAAUCAACAACAUUCAUGAUUGAAAGCAUAAGAUUAAAUCACAAUAAUCACAAGUAAGAACCCAAAGCCGUAAUUGAAUUAAUCAACCAAAAUUAAUACAAGAGCAUUCCAAGACCAAAAUUGAAUCCGGUAAUCAAAAUAUGUUUGUCAGUAUCAAGAGUGAGUAACUUCUACUCAAAAACACAUAAGGGGUAUUUAUAGCACUUGAGAAAACCCUAAAACCAAAGCCCGAACAAAAAAGGGUCGGUGGCUACAUGUGGUCUCCUCAUGUGGCUUGGCCUUAGGCACAUGUGGCACAUGCGGACCGUUGGAUGCAUGUGGCCACCACAUGUGCUUAGACACAAAAAUUCUGUGUCUUUACUUCUAGGAUUUUGGACUUCUGACACAUGCUUUGCCUAUAUGCGGUCCAUAUGUGCUAUAUGCGGUCCGCAUAUUGACAUACGUAGGUUCCGAAAGUCUUUUUCAUCACUUCUUCAACUCCAUCAUAUUAUUUAGUCAUGAAAAAUCCAGAAAAUGUCUCAAUACCCAAGAUUGACCAAAAAGUAUCCAAAACACCAUUUUUUAUUUUUUUUACGAUUGCAUCCAAAACCCCGUUUCCUGCAAAACAUGCCCAAAAUGCAUCAUAUCUAACAAAACAACCUAAGAAACUUGCAUAUUUCCAUUGUUUUAAGCAUCAAAUGUGCUAUAUUUCUAUAGCACAUCAACACCCUCAACUUAAAAUGUUUGCAUGUCCUCAGGCAACAAAACACAAAAAUAUAAAACAAAACAAGACAUGACGCUUAAUUAGGAGAAUCUAAGCUAUUUAAGGUAGUCAAUCAACACUUUAAGCUCAUUUCAAACACCACCUCCAAACUCACUUUUUAAAAACAACUGUAUAUAAACAUAAAGCACAAUAAUGUGACACAAUGGGAUCAAGAUGUCAAAUUAUAUUAGCAAAUAGACAACCAUGCAUAUGUACAAGUUACACUACCCAAACACGUAAACAACUAGCAAUAUGACUCAUGCACCCUCACAAUAAAGAUGUCCCACUCACUUAUAUAAAAUUAUGCAUGUCAAUGCAGGGACAGUCAAGAGACACUCAUUCUUAGAAAAGAAGUUUUAAUCAAUGUGCAUCAAAUACCAUAAGCUUGCCCUUAUUUUACCUUAGUAUUUAGUCAGUCAAGUUAGGAUCACUAUAGGACUUUUCUCGGCUUGUAAUAAAGGCUUGGGGGAUGGUAUGGUACAUAUGUACAUAUCAAGUGACUAAGCCUUCUUGGCACUACACUAACCUUGGGUCUUACUUAUUAGCCAAUUUUUCAUUUUAUUUCCACCCUUAUUUCUCUCAUUUUAUUUUAAAGCUCAUUCAGGUUGGGUGUGGUCUUUUAUUCUUUAUUUUUAACUUUUUUUAUAAUUUUUAUUUUCUUUUUUUUUUCUUUUCUUUUGCUACAACACCUAGCCCUGCUAACUUCUUCUCUUAUUUUUCCUUCUACAUACUCACUUUAUAUUACACACCCGUAUGAUAGCCACCCUUAACUUAGGAGAUUUGCUUGAGUUGAGAUGUACAAUAUCCAAGGAAGACCAGGGACAGAAUAGUUUAAUGCAAAACAAAUGGGAAGGUGAUAGGUGAAAUAAGAAAAAUAGGCUAUAAGGCUCAAAAUAGGGAUCAAGGGAUACUAUUUCACACAGAGAAGGUCAUUUAGGCUAAUAGUGGACUAAAAUAAAAAAAUGACCUAUGAUUAUUUCCUAACCAACUAUCCUUCAACCUAAGACAAGACUAAUCAAACAAGUUCUGAAUUCAACCCAGAAACAAAACUAAGCAGAUUCUCACACACACAUGGCACAAAGUCAAUAUUUCAAGCUACUACCUAUCCGAUUCAUGCAACUGUUAGCAAAUGAUUAUCAUGUCUCUAAUACUAAUGCUAUAAUAAGAUCCACAAUAUGUGCACACAAAUACAUUCACAUAGUUCUAAAACACAAUUUUGGAGGGGUAUCAAUUUUCUUCAAAAAUCAAUCAAAACAUGAGUACUAUCCUAAAUACUUAAAAAUCUCCUAAUUACACAAAAAAUAUAACACAAUACGAAACAAAACACAAUAUGACAAAAUUAAACUAGAAAUGUUGGUUCUACAACCAUACCAAGAUCGACAAAAAAAGAAGCACAAUAACAAUAACCUACGACGGCUAUGGUAUACCUCACCCCCAACUAAAAAGUAUGCAUUGUCCCCAAUGUACUAAAAAAAUAUAAAACAAAGUGAUGUGGACAUACUUUAGACACAAUAAGCGUUUGUGUCAUGAACAUUCCUAGAUGGGGGCAUAUUAACUGGCGAAGGCAGGGUGGCAGUGGUGCACUACCAAAAGAUAUACCCGUUAUUAUCCUUGCACGCCUGUAAUGACCCUUCAAGUCAUUUUCUAUAAUUAUGCUUAUCAUCACCGUUUGAGCUUAUCCAUAGUUUUCCCAAGUUAUUUAUCACUUUCUAGGACUAGAGGUUCGGUUACCGAGCAGUUCGUUUGUUUUUUAAAGCCAAUUCCCUAUUUAAAAGUCUUCACUGGUUCCAAAUGACCAUUGGGUGAAGACUUUAAGGAAAUGAUCGCAGAUGCAAAUUUUGAUUGCUCCAAUAGAUAUGGAAUAUCGAUUUUACUCUAGGUAUACCUUUGAUUUGGGUCCCAAUGUACCCGAGCUUUUUUUCAUUUAUUGGUUGAAAAGUUAAAAAUUGGAAAGAAUGGGUGUGGUACCCACAUUGGGUCGAAACAAUCUUGGAUUGAAAAUAUGACUUAUCCAUCAUGUCUAGAUUAUCAAUUUUAGUCUAGGGAGACCCUUAGUUCAGGUCCCAAGACUCCCGAACUUAUUUUGGGCUAUUGAGCGAAAUUUAUAAAAAAUGAUGAAAGUUUAGGUGUGGGCCCCUCUUUUUGCUUAAAUGAUCUCCUAUGAAAGUGUUGAUGCUUCCAAUGGAUUUGAAAUGUGGUUUACACUCGAAAUUCACUAUUGUAUCACGUUAUUUGGAUUCCGUAUGAGUUCUGAGGGUUAAAAACUCAUUUUUCAAUUUGCUGUCAUCUGGUGCAACCGCGACCGUAGCCAAAAGUGUGCGAUCGUGGGAGUGUGAUCGCUGCUUGUAUAAUCAUGAUUGCGGUACCUGAGAACCUGUAGGGGGUAUAUAAAGGUUCCAAGACAUGUUUGGACUAUUUCCUCUUCACUAUUUAGACCUAGGAACCCCAAAAUAAAUAUUAUAAUCAAAAUUGGUCGGGGGAGGGGGUUACUUGGGAGCCUAAUUAUCAUCUUGUAUCAUGAUUAUAUUCAAGAUUAAGGUAAGAAUUACUUGAAUUCAUGCUUUAAUUUUAUAGUUUAGACCCAAAUCUCCAAUUUAGCUUCGGGCUUGAUUUUAGCCCGAUGUAUGCUUAGUUUACACCCAUUAUUUGAGGGUUAUGAUUCCUUGUUCAUGUGUUAACAUUGGGUUGGUCUCAGAAACUCAUUUUUUGUAAGUGGGACCCACUUGGGGUUUUGGUGUCAUUUUUGAACCCAAAGCACAAUAGUGCAAUAUGGGUGUCAUUAGACUCGUACUAAUGAGUAGAUUAUAAUUUUAAAAGUGUGAUGGAAUUUUGAGGAUUGUAAAGUGAAGACGAGCAUGUUGUGCAUGAAGUAAAGUUUUUUGGUUUGUCCUUGAGGUAGGCUUCUGUCUACUUUUCUUCAUAGAUGAUGUGUGAUGUUUGUUGCGUGUGAAUAUGGAUUUUAGGUUUGAUUAUGCAUAGGAUGAAUUGACCUUGAUUGUUUAUGUUUGGGGAUUGGAUGAGGGUUUUGGACCCAUAAAUGGCAUGUUUAUAACCUUUUGUAUCCUGUUGCCUUUCCUCUUUAGUUUAGAUUAUUUAUAACAUAGAUAUGAUAUAAUACAAUGUUUGGAAUGUGGUUUUAGCAUUUGAAGCAUGAUUUGUAUACUAAGCCCUAUUUUGAAACCGUAAGUUGGGUAGAGUUGACUUGUGUACCCUUAUUUCUAGUCAAAGUUGCUAUCUUAGGCUUGAAUAUGGCUUACUUGACAUAUAAAAGUUGAACUAGAUACCUUACCCUAGUUUGGGGGCAUAGUGUGCCUAAUUAUGGAAAUUGUGGAUUAGAAGUGGGAUUGUUCUUCCCACUUAGGCCUAAGCUUGUGUUAAGUUUUGUGGACUUAGUUGUAGAUGUUAGACAUAGAUGAGGCUAGUAAACCAUAGAAUAAGGUUACUUUGUAACUUUGUAACUUGUAUUGACGUUCUCAGAUUGUGGUUUUUGAGUUAUGAUUAUGAUACUCCUUGUGGAAGUGAUAUUCGGCAUUUAGAGAUGAUAUUUCUUCUAGAUACGUGAUAUGGCCUAUAGAGAUGGUAUUUUCUCUUAGACUUGAUAACUGACUUGUAUAUUUGAUAUUUUCUUUAGUAAUGAUUGUUGGACCUAUAUAGACGUUAUUUUCUAUUACAUAUGUAAAUUGGCCCAGAGAAGUGAUAUGGAAAGCAGGGGAGAAGAAUUGCUCUCUAUUACUGUGAUCGCGGUCCCUAAGCACGAUCGCGGCCGCUCGUAUGUCUGCAAUUGCGGUCACUUGACUGUGGUUUCGGUCACUUCAGCCACUUAAUCCCUUGUUGUCUUGACGUAUGACCUAUUGACGUAUGAUAUCCUAUAGACAAUUACUUAUUUGUCUAUAUUAUCCCUCCUAGAUGUGAGAUUCCUCUUAUGUAAGAGCAUAUAACAUAUUUAUUGAUAUUAUGCUUCCUAUAUGUGAGAUACCCCCUAUAUGUGAGAUGAUUAGAGGUAUGGUAUGACUUAUAAAUAUGAUUAAUGAUAUGAGUCCUGGAUAUGUGCAUGGGCCUAAGGCCAUGAUUAUGAUGUUGUGAUUAUUCGAGAUAAAUUAAUGGGCUAAGGGUUGUGUUACGACAUUGAUUGAAUAUUCAAGAAGUGUUUGUUAUCAUAAGUGAUGUAAUUAUAGUUUAUAAAUAUGAAUAUAUAUAUGUUUUUAUAUGCAUCUCUCUGGUAUGGGAUGAAAGAAGAUGCAGUAUGAUGUUUAUUAUUCCACUGAUUGAAUACUGGUGAUGGCAUGCAUAGAUUUGGUACAUUCAUGAUUAUUAUAUCGAUAAUUGAUGUGAUUCUAGUUUAAAUAUGAUCUUAUGACUGUUCUUCCUAAUUGAGGGUUAAGCUAAGUAUCAGUUUGGAUGAUGGUUUCUCAUGGAAUGGUAUGGUAUGGUAUGGUUAGUAAUAGUACUAUGUUUGUUUUGAUUGUUUCUCAAAAUAUAUAGUAUGGUAUGGUUUAAUGCCAUGGUUAGGAUACCAUGAAAACCCUCACUUUUUUGAAUAUGAUCUUAUGACUAUUCUUCCUAAUUGAGGGUUAAGCUAAGUGUCUUUUUGGAUGGUGGUUUCUCAUGGUAUGGUAUGGUAUGGUUAGUAAUAAUACCAUGUUUGUUUUGAUUGUUUCUCAAAAUAUAUAGUAUGGUAUGGUUUAAUGCCAUGGUUAGGAUACCAUGAAAACCCUCACUUUUUUGAACCACCGAUUUGGUGGUAUCCCAUGGUUUAGUUAAUUUUUUCAGUUAUACCCUUAUAUAAUAUUAUCUAAUCCUAUUUUAUCCUUUUACAUAUUGAACUCUAGCCUUGCCUAUACUGUAUCCCAAAAAAUAAAAUGAGAAUCCAGUACCGUUUAUCCCUUAAAGAAUGAAUAUUAGUUUUCCUUACCAUAGAAAUUGAGGUCACUAGCAAAGAAAGCCUUGGAUCCAGUAAAGGAGAAGAAUGGCAACGGAACUGGAAUAGGAACAUUGAUGCCAAUAACCUCUUUUGGUAGACCUUCUUUGAAAGAUUUUUCAUGUAUUGCUUUAGUUUAUUAAUAGGAACAUCAAUAUCCAAAUUUGAUGCAUAAUUGUGCUUAUUAUGAUGCAUAGUUAAUUCAAACAUCAAUAUCAAAAUCCUGCUCAUAGUUAAUAAGAAAAUACCCCUAAUUAUUAUAAAUUUAAAUUUAUAAUAAUUAGGGGUAUUUUAGUAAACUUACUCAUUACGAUACAAUACCAUCCAUCAAACCAAACAAAAAAACUGUUAUUAGACAGCAGUGAAUGAUACUAUCUAUCCAAACAUUGUAUUUUACUAUACUUACAGUACUAUACCAUACCAUACUAUACUGUACCGUGUAUUAUGAAACCAUCGAAAAACACCAUCCAAACAUAGUGUAAGUGGUAGCUAGAUUUCUUUUAGGUGGCUAUAGUACUUGAUGGAUAGAAAUCUAAUGUACUAGUUAAUGAACCUUGCUUAGUUGAAGUAUGGUAGCUAACGAUUAAAGUCGAUACGUGGCAAUGAAAAUGGGUUUAUCUAUGAUAAUGAUUAGUUGCUAUCGAUAACAAAGUUGUGAUGCCGAUUAGUUGUUAAGUAAGGAUAAUGUGGCUUAAUAUUGCCAGAUGAUAAAGGAAGUUAGUGAUAAUGACUCCUAGUUAAUAACGAUGCCUAAAUGAAGAUAAUACCAAGUCAAUAAUGUUGACUAGAUAAUAAUGAUGAUUAGUUGAAUAAUGAGGAUUAGAUGGUAAACGAUAGUUAGUUAAUGAUUGAUCUUAGUUAAUAAAAGAUGGUUAGAUGGUAAUUGGUAAUUUGUUGGCUAAUGAUGAUUAUCUGAUAUAUAAUAAUUAGUUGAUAAUAAUGAAUAGUAGAUAAAUGGUGAUUAUUUUCCUAUGAUGAAUAGAAAAUUAGUUGUUUAAUAAUAAUAUGCGUUGGUUGGCUAAUAACGAGUAGUUGGGAUGUAUUGACAAGACUGAUAUCUUUAUAGUUUGAGUAUAUUGGCUUGCGUCUGUGCACCUAUUAUAUGCCUAUAUUUAUGUGUUAAUAGUUACGAUGGCAUAUUGAUACCCGGCAAGGCCAGAGGAUAUUAUGAUGAUAUUGAUACCCAAUUCAUGUUCGGAGAAUACUAUUGAGAUGAUAUUGAUACCCGGUAAGGCCAGAGGAUAUUAUGAUAAUAUGGAUACCCAGUUCAAGUUUGGAGGAUACUAUUGAGAUGAUAUUAAUUUCCAGCAAGGCUGGAGGUUGAUUACGAUGAUGAUGGUCCUGAUGAGGAUAAUUAUUAUGAGUUGUGAUAUUAAUGGCAUACUUUGCAGUCAUUCCUGCAUGAUCAUCGCCUAUCACCAGUAUACACCUAUAUUUAUCAGCCGGUAAGGAUAGUUGCAUAGAUAUGGGUAAAGGAUAUGUCUUGUAUUAUUGUAUGUUAUUAAACCUUAUAAGCCUGGGGAGGUGGGGGUACGCAUAGGCUCGUAUAAGUAUUUGGUUGUCCGGAGUAGCUGGUCAUUAACACUGUUAUUGAUAUUAUUAUUAUCAUUGUUAUGAUCAUUACUAUGGCUAGCUAUGACAGAUUGGCCAUUGAUCCGGUAUCGAGAUUUUAGGUAUGUCUUUGGUCUCUUCUGUCUUAUGAUUGCAUUAUUAUGCAUGAGUAUUUCAUGUCUAGCCAUAUGGAUUAGAAUCCCAGAGUAUGAUAGUAUUUAAAUCAUGAUAGUAUUAUAAUGAGGUCUCAAAAUAAGAAUAUGAUGAUAUAGGUUAUACGUUGAGAUGACCUCGUAUUUAUAUGUACUUAUACCUAUAUAUAUCUAGCUAUAUGAAGCUAUGGUACUGCCGUAUAUCCCUUCCUUUCUUGUUCAUUUUAUAUAGUCAUUACUUCGCCUUGUAUAUUACUAUAUAACUUUCUUUUUCUCUUUAUUGGUAUAUUAACGUAGGAUAUAUGGUAUAGCAUUGACGUAUGUUGAAUUUAGAUGGAAUAAGAUGGUUCACCCUAAUACUUCCUUAGUCUUAUUUUGUUAGAUGCUUGGAUAUAAAUAUGAUAGUUUUCCCGUAUUACUCUUAUUGACUUAUUAUAUGAAUUAUGGACUUUUGAGUGUAGUUUCCAUUUUGUUUAUAUACUGUGCAUAUCUGCUUUAUCUUUGGAGCUCAGUUGGCAGUUGUCUACUGAGUACCAUUCAUUUUGUACUCAAACUAUACUUCUGCAUCCUGCAUAUCAUAGUACGGGUUAUCGCCGUUGAUAUGUGUAUCGUGCGAAGCAGCCCUAGUUUGGAGACUUAGAGUGAGCUCCUGAUGUUUGGAGUAUUACUUAUCUCUCUAUUACGUAUUAGACUAGUCUCUAAGUUGUAUUAGGAGACAAGUUGUACCAUUGUAUAAUUGUUGAUAUAUCUUAGUUGUACUUUUAUAAUAUUAGAAACACUUGCACUAAUACCACCAGGCUUUGGGAUUCUUCUAUCUAUUGAUCUUUAAUCCAUAUAUUCCGUAUUAUUUUCCUUAUAUUAUUGAGUAGUUCAUUACCAGCCAUUCCGGACUAUGGGUUGGCUUUCCUAUGGUGGGUUAUGGUAAGUGCCAUCAUGACCUGAAGAAUUGGGUUAUGACAACGCCUCUUCUUCUCAACCACUACAGUAUCCAUUGAAUCAUGUUUUAACUGCCUGGUCAUAUAGCUUAUUAGGAUCCUGCAAGUCUCCUAUGUGACCUCUCUUCGCCCCAACUCUCGAGAACUUCUCCUUAUCCUCCAUAAAGAAAUCAAAAUAUCUGCAUGCGUGUGAAGGUAAAUUUAGGACACUGGGGGUAUGACUGAAAAUCAUGGCUACUACAUGGCUCUCUAUGAGAGAGAAUACCUCUUCUCGUAAUAUGUCCAACUCCUCCCUCAUUAGGGCUAGAUCUGACACCUCUAUCUCUGUAAAUCGAGCUAUAACCCAUCUUUCAAACUCAUCAAGACGUUCCUGUAAGUCAGCAUGUUUCUCAGACAGGGAAACUCUCUGUGUGGCCUCCCAUCUAUCCUCUGCCAUCUUAAAUCUAGUUCAAACCCUUAAACGUAUCUGCUCCUAUAGAGUAGUUAUCUCGGUAUCAAUAACCCACAAUCGAGAAUCAGUGGCCAUCUGGCUAUCCACUAACCUUAGCGAGAACUCUCGAGAUAUAAUAAUUAUACCUAUAGCAGGGGUUGUAGUAGAUGCGCGAGUGGCUCUAAAGGUAUGCCAAUCGACUCUGAGGUCAAAGCCGGGGCUGAAGAAGAAGUGGCUAGUGUACCCUUGCCCUAAGUACAAAAACCUAGGGCCUUUCUUUACUUCCCUAUCUCAAGAUCAACACUAAAUCCUACAUCACCUCUAUGUACAUCACCAGGCUCUGUAGAAAUUGAUGGACCCUCAGUCUAGGCCCGAGGUACUGUGACAUGCUCACUAGAUUUCGUAGGAAGGAUCGGACAUACUAGAUCCUUCGUACUCUUUAUCUAUGCAAUAGAUUUCAAACAUAUUCUCUCAUCUAUUCUUAAUAUCUCUGGUACACUAGCCUCGUCACAUAAACUUUGACUCAGGCAGGGUAAUAGUGAAAUUCAUCAUCUCUCCAAAUUAUCUAUCAUAGAUCUCAUGCCGGAGAAUGGCUUAAAAGUCAAUAGCAUACCCAACCAUCCUAAUAGCAACCAGGGCUACACCCUCCCAAGUCAACACAUUAUCUAAAGUAGUAGGGACUAUCGAUAUCAGAUGAAAAACCACCAAAUCUUAGCAUCAAAGGUCAACAAGCCCUUCUUUAUGACACCAUGACCCUCAAUCCAUAGGGUCUCAUCACGCAAAGGUAAAAUAUAGCUAGCUAUCCACCUAGCCAUCUUAACUCCCUCUCACUUAUGCUCUGCCUCCCACAUAAUAUGUCUAUCUCAUGCGACUCUCAGUCUAUAGUCGUACUCAGUUGUGGAUGAGGGAGUGAUAUAAUCUGGACCAAAAAUGACUAAACAAAUAGUCUCUGCUGAAAGAUCAACCUUCACCCCUGUCACAUGGGUCUGAUCAAGCUAUGACUACCCCAUACGUCUCCUAAGACCUGGAGAUCUAUGUAUCGAGAACUAUUAUUGCAUGCUAUGAUACAUAAAACCCAUGUACCAUAGUCGAGCUAUAAGAAUUGAGUGGUCUAGUUAUCCACUCUAAUUGAUAAUGAAUAAAGGAAAUGCACAACUGUGGUACUCGACUCAGCCCAAAUAGAUCAAUCUUGUGCUCUGUAUAAAUAAGCCUCUUAGGCCUUCCUACCUCUAAAAUGCAACUAUCUAUAUUAAAUAUCUCCCGUACCGCCUCCAGGCACCACCUCGGAUUUUCCUCCUUAAAAGGUGCCUCUAAGUUAUGUGUGGGUACAAGACUCUGCCCUUAUUAUACUGGUGCCUCAUGGGAAUCCUGCUCUGUACCUGUAAUACCCCAUAUGUUUCUAAGCUAGGAAGUGAAUAAGUAUUCCUAUGUAUGAAAUCUCCUAUCAUGUGAUUCAUACUUGAUUACAUGACUUACAAUGAAUAUCCUAGUGAUAGGAUAGCUUAUGAUACAUUAAGCAUGUUCAUAUAAGUCACUUAAGGUAAUACAAGCUAAGAGUUUUUGAAUCCAUCAAGUUUUAGUGUUUGAUUUUGCAAGGGUCAUCUUUGAAUGAGUAUAACUCGAUGUUAAUGUGGUAUUUUGGCUGAUUUAGACCCACCAAAUUGUAUAGAAUCGAAUUAGCUUUCCAACGAUACCAAAUUUGCCUUAAUCCAAUACCCGAGCGAAAAGUUAUGCCCAUUUUCGUGAGAGACAGUAAGCAUAGGCGAUUGGUUAGGCGCUGCCCAACCCAAGCAUAGGCGAUUGGUUAGGCGCCGCCCAACCCAAGCAUAGGCGAUCACUUAGGCGCCGCCUAAGUAAUUUCCAGGUGUCAAAAACACUUCAUCUUGAGUUAUUUUAAAGGUAAUUAAGUCUUUAAAUACUCCUUACACGUCCCUAAACUUAACCCUACGAAAUAUAUAUCUUCUAAACAUACUGCAACCCUAUUUUCAUCUCAAAGCUCAUCAUCCAAGAGCACUAAAGGAGAAAAACAACUAGAGUUGCAUAAUUUAGCUUAAAGAUCCGAUUUCAAGGAAAUUCCUCCGUCAAUCAUCAAGAAUNNNNNNNNNNNNNNNNNNNNNNNNNNNNNNNNNNNNNNNNNNNNNNNNNNNNNNNNNNNNNNNNNNNNNNNNNNNNNNNNNNNNNNNNNNNNNNNNNNNNNNNNNNNNNNNNNNNNNNNNNNNNNNNNNNNNNNNNNNNNNNNNNNNNNNNNNNNNNNNNNNNNNNNNNNNNNNNNNNNNNNNNNNNNNNNNNNNNNNNNNNNNNNNNNNNNNNNNNNNNNNNNNNNNNNNNNNNNNNNNNNNNNNNNNNNNNNNNNNNNNNNNNNNNNNNNNNNNNNNNNNNNNNNNNNNNNNNNNNNNNNNNNNNNNNNNNNNNNNNNUAUGUUUUUGUGAAUUCAUGAUAUCAUAUGAGUUGGAAACAUGUAAAUUUGGGUGUUCAUGAUGUUUCACCUAUGCUUAAGAUGUGCAUGUAAGGUGUUUGAUAAAAUGCCUAAGGAACUAGAAACCAUGCAAUAUAGCUAAAUUAUGACUAAAUGAAGAAAUCAUGAUAUACCCUUACGUUCCAAUGACUUCUAUGUUGUUAAUGUCCCUUGUAAAUGUUGUUGGAAUACCCAUGAACUAUUCUUAUGAGAUUAUGCUAUGUUUACUUGCAAAUCCUACUUAUGAACAAGAUGUAUGAUAACCAUGCUAUUAGUAUGUGUUGCCAAUAUGAUUAUGCAACGAACAUAAUAUUAAGAAUGUGCAAGUACUUCCAUGUGAUAUGAAAUUCUUUCCAUGCAAUACAUUGUUGAUAACCAUGCAUAGUAUGAAAUCCCUACUUAUUAUAUUAUAUAUUAUGGACUCUACUCUUAUGAUCAAGGUAGUCAUGUGUGUCAGUUUCCUUCCAUCGAGUCCUGGGGNNNNNNNNNNNNNNNNNNNNNNNNNNNNNNNNNNNNNNNNNNNNNNNNNNNNNNNNNNNNNNNNNNNNNNNNNNNNNNNNNNNNNNNNNNNNNNNNNNNNNNNNNNNNNNNNNNNNNNNNNNNNNNNNNNNNNNNNNNNNNNNNNNNNNNNNNNNNNNNNNNNNNNNNNNNNGAUAUCCGAACUCAAGCUAUGAUUCCAUAGACUUCAGUCAGUCAUGUGACUCAGGAAAACCUCAUGAUCUUAGUCAGUUGUCAGAUAUCAGUAACAUUCCGCCAGUCAAUGGAAUUCAGUAAGAUUAAGUCAUGCACAGUCAGUUAUUCAUGUCCAGUCCCUCCAGAUGGGAGCAGAGGUUAGCACUGAGUGAACCCAAGGAUGGGAGCUCACCCACCAAUUCAGGGUACGAUUCUUAGUAGCAAUCCUUGUGUUCCAGAACUACGUAGCCAGCGUAGGUUGAGAUAUCUUAACCCGUCAUCUUAGGGUUGAUGAGGUGGCUUAACCCAUCAGUUUAGGGUUUCCACCAUUCUUAUUUGAGUACCUGCCAGUAUAGGGUCUCACAGCUGUCCUUACCAGUGGCACGGUAUUGAUACCCCUCCAGUCGGGGCAGAGAUUGGACCCUAGCUUAGCCAUAAUGGCAUACAUGGGGUAUGUCAGUUAAACACUACUUCCCACAGUUUUAGUAUCAGUCUCAGUAAAAGAACUCAGGGCGUUCUUCAGAUUUCAGUAUAUACAGGACUGCCAGAUACAGUCAUCUAUGUUAUCAGUUUUAGUAACAGUCUCUGUAAAAGAACUCAGGGUUUUCUUUAGAUUUCAGUAUAUACAGGACUGUUAGAUAUAGUCAUCCAUGUUAUCAGUUUUAGUAUCAGUCAGGACAGUUAUCAGUAAACCAUGUAUUAGCUUACAAGUCAUGUUAUCAUGUAUUCACGGUCCCAGUUUCUAUAUAUGUGUGUUUACACUUCCACGUUCAUAUUAGUCAGUCAGUGUUGUUCAUGCAUGAAACCCUUUAUAUUUAGCCUACCUUCCUCGUAUACUCAGUACUCCAGUUGUACUAACGCAUUUGCACUAUGGUGCUUUCUUUUAUGUUACAUCAUAGGUUCCGAGACAGGAGCUCCAGCCCAGCAGUAGCGGUAGCAUUCCAGUCACAGAGACACAGUGA
rnacentral:lncRNA from 1 species